rnacentral:lncRNA from 1 species
GAUGUAUUCUGUUCUCUAUGCUCUGCCAAAUACAAAUGCAUCAUGCAGCUGUUGCAUGCAUCCUUGCUAUCAUCAAGUCAUGAGCAUUAUCAUCUUGACAUGAACAUCUUUUUGGACCAUAUCAUAGUUUAUCCAAGACAUGCAUUUGAAGCACAGUCAUCUCAACAUUGUCAGCUUAUUCAGGGUUCACAUUUUGUGGCAUGUCAUAAGAUGCAUUUAAUUUUUGGCCUUGAAUCUUGUUGGUCUGUGGUGUCGCAUUGUAUUCUACAUUUGGGAAUUUCUUUAUUUUGUGUUAACCUAUGUUUUAAACCUCAAGUGACUUCUUAGCACCUCUAACAACGUAUUAUGUGCGGGUGAAAUAGAAUCUGCAUCAUAAAUUGAGAUCUUAAUGCGAGUAGCAUCCAUCUCAACUCUCUCUGGUUAGGGUUGUCAGUCACUCCUUUAACCCUCUUACUUGAACUGAUGAUAACGCUAUAACAUCCAGGUUUUCAGAUCCUGGAAGACUGGAUUGUCCUGGAAAUUCCAUUGUGCUUGUGUUAUGCAGCAUUUGUGCAAAAAGAGGGGACUUCCUUUUACUUGGGGAUUGGCGGUUGCUGGAGUUGCUUUAUCCAGGUAUUUAGUUCCACAUGAAGAGUGUGCACACAAUCAUAUAGAUGUUGAUGCAGCACCGUGUGAGAAGAUGGUUCAUGUUUGUUUCAGGCUGGUGUGCUAGGUUUGAGCUUUCUCGCAUGUUUCCUUUUUGCUCAGCUAACUUCGAUUGCAAACAAAAGUUGGACUCCUUGAUUUUUCAUGGUUGACUGGUUGUGGAUAAAUGAUCUGUAACAGUUUAGAGUGAGUGACUUUGAAGAGUAAUAGUUAAGAGGAUUUUGUAGGAAUUAGUAAAUCCAUUAGAUUCUAAAUCAGCCAGUAUUUCUACCCCUUUUUUUUUAAAAAAAAAUAAUAUAAAGGUUAUAACCAAAUGAUUUGAUUUAAUUGGUUAAUAUUUCGGAAAGCAACAUGGAAUUUCAUGGUGCAGUGCGUGCACUGAAUAUCACAGCCGUAAGUUUGAUAAUUGGUUGUUUGGUUGGAGUGAUUUGAAAAGAUGAUGUCUGCAUGAUGAUGCAGUGUUUGGUUGGCUAUACGAGAUGCCUUUUAUCUAACUAAUGCAGUGUUGAGUUGACUAUAUAAGAUCUAGUAAUUUUUACCUAAGCUAAUGCAAUGUUUGGUGAGUUGAUUAUUCGUAUUGAGUUUGUUAAUUUUUUCAGUACAAUUGUUUAACGUAUGUGGAAUAUAUAUAUCUUUAAAGUAAGUGAUACUACUGCAUAAUUAUUGCUCAUUUUAUCUUUAUAUAUUUACGUAAGUUAUCAGUGCCUUGGAAUUUACGUGUGACUAGUUAGCACAGAAAAUGAUCCUCAGCGGUGAUGCUAUUUGGUUUAUGGCAUAACAGGUUUGGUUGAGUAAAAAUUUAUCCGCAUUUGGUGUUCAAUAAAUAUGUGAUACCCCGUUGCCGUUAAAUCGUACUUGGUAACCAAUAAUUAUUGUUCUGGUGUAAACAGGGCAAACUUUUUACAUUCCUGGUUGCACUAAAUGGGUACAUCCUAUUAAGAAAUGAUGGUGUUUUAUCACAAGUCAUAUUAAUUGGUUUUUUAAUGUUUUGAAAAAUGAUUUUGGAAUAAGUAAGGGAAUGAUCUUGAUUACUGAAGUCGAGUGAAUGUAGUGGACUAAUAAAAGUGAUAUGGUGAUUAAAAUCCAAUUGUAAUAUUGGUUCCAAAUUUCCGUGGAAUUUCAUGAUUGACGGCAACAUACUUGGUUUUUCUGGCCAUGUGAAUACAGAUGCUCUUUGGCAAGGAAUUUAUGGCAACAACUUUGAAAAGGACAAUAAUUUGAAGACACGCCAAUAUUUAUUAUAUAUAUCAUAGAUAAGAAAUAAAAAAGUUGGGGGUGUCAGUUUUAAUUCGAUUAUAAUGAAUCGAUAUUUAGUACACUUUUUAUGGAACAAUGGGAGGUGACAUAUCUGAAGUAAGAAUGCAUGAUUAGUUCUUUUUUUGAGUCCGAAAAAUAUGAUUUAGUUUAAUUUGAUAUGAAAUUUUAAGAUAAUUAAAAAAAUAAUUUUGAUCAUGUGUUCUAAAUUAAAAUUACGUUAAAUAUAUAAAAUUAAUUUUAUAAUUUGAAAUAUGUCACGUAAUUUUUUUAAAAAUAGAUUAAAGAAUUUUUUUUUUUAAUUUUAAACAGAAGGGGUAAUUUAUAUAUAGCACAGUUGAAAUAAGCAAGAAUGGUAAGAGUUCAUUGGUAUACGUGUCUACACUUAAUUAAUGAUGGAAUGUUGUUAGAGUGAGUCGGUGUUGGGACAAUGGAAAAUUGAUUGAGUAAACAAGGUCAAAAAGAGUCGUCCACAAAAAUCUAAAAUUGUGGGCCAUUUCUGCCGGAAUACUAUCUAUCCCUAUUUUACGAAUAUUUCUUUAAUACGAGGGUUUUUAAAUUAGAUUUUUAUUUGUGUUCGGUAUAUAAAAGAUAUAUUAGCAAAUCUUUUUUAUGUAAUAAUUAUUUUUUAAAAUAUAGAAUAAUAAUUUUUUUAAUGGACGUUGUGAUGUCGGAGUAUAUAUAGUACAAAUAAAAGAAUGGUAUGGUAUGCUUUUCUGAAUAAAGAAUAAGUAGUUAAAUAGAUAGUUGUGAUUUUUCAACAUGUUCCCAUUUCUUUUCACACUUGAACCCAAAAAAAAACUCCCAAUUUGUUUAAAUUUCUUCCUACACAAAUGCUACCUACAAUCCUUUCCCUCAAAAAAAAAAAAACAUUUUUGAUUAUGAAGAUAGCUGUUCAUAAUUUGAUCUUUUUCUACUGCUGCUAUUUCUCAGUGUCGGCUUUUGCUGUAUGUGGUCUCACUUCUGAUGGCACCGCUUUAGUUUCCCUUUCUAGUGACUGGAUUGGUGUACCCUCUUCUUGGAAUGCUUCAGAUACCAAUCCAUGUUCUUGGGUUGGCGUUGAAUGUGAUGACAACCACUUUGUCACCUCUUUGAACCUCUCUGGCUAUGAUAUCUCUGGCCAAUUGGGACCUGAAAUUGCUUAUUUGAAACACUUGCUUACCAUGGACUUGAGUUAUAAUGCUUUCUCUGCCUCCAUUCCUUCUCAACUCACUAACUGCACUCUUCUUCGUUACUUGGAUCUAUCCUACAACACCUUUACUGGAGAAAUCCCUUCAAACAUUGGAAAUUUACACAAGUUAACCUACAUAAGCCUCUUCUCUAAUUCACUCACUGGUAAUAUUCCUCAUUCCUUGUUUUCUAUCCCACAUUUGGAAACUAUCUACUUUAACCAAAACAGUUUGAAUGGUUCCAUCCCGUCCGGCAUUGCUAACUUGACUCACCUGUUGUCUCUCUAUCUUUAUCAGAAUGACUUGUCCGGUCCAAUUCCCUCUUCCAUAGGAAACUGUACAAACUUGCAAGAAUUGUAUUUGAAUGAUAAUCAUUUAGUUGGUAGUUUGCCUGAGAGUUUACAAAAGCUACAACACCUUGUUUAUUUGGACUUAAGCAAUAAUAGUCUACAAGGAAGUAUCCCUUUCAGUUUAGGCAACUACAAACAUCUCGACACUCUGGUCUUGUCAUCCAAUAGUUUCAAUGGGGAACUUCCACCAACUUUGAUGAAUUCUACGAACCUAAAAGUUCUUGCUGCUUUUUCUUCGGGUUUAAGUGGCCCUAUUCCUGCUACUCUAGGCCAGCUCACAAAGUUGGAGAAACUUUACCUUACUGACAACAAUUUCUCUGGAAAAAUACCACCUGAGCUGGGAAAGUGCCAGGCCUUGAUGGAAUUACAUUUACCCGGAAACCAACUGGAAGGUGAAAUUCCUAGUGAACUAGGAUCACUCACCCAGUUGCAGUAUCUCUCUCUAUAUUCCAACAAAUUGAGUGGUGAGAUUCCCCGCACUAUUUGGAAGAUUCAAAGUCUUCAACAUAUUCUUGUCUAUCGGAACAACCUGACUGGGGAGUUACCUCUUGAAAUGACUGAGUUGAAACAAUUGAAGAACAUAUCCUUAUUUGAGAACCAGUUUACCGGAGUUAUACCUCAAGGUUUGGGGAUUAACAGCAGUCUAACGCUGCUGGAUUUCACAAACAACACCUUCACAGGUCCUGUUCCACCUAAUCUUUGUUUUGGAAAGAAACUGGAGAAGCUUCUUUUAGGUUAUAAUCAUCUUGAAGGUGGCAUUCCUUCUCAAUUAGGACAAUGUCAUACUUUGACGAGAGUAAUUCUCAAAAAAAAUAAUCUGUCAGGUGCCAUUCCAGAUUUUGUUAAGAAUAUAAAUCCUAUUUUCUUGGAUCUCAGUGAGAAUGGCUUCAGUGGGAAAAUAUCUCCAAGUUUGGCAAAUCUUGAAAAUGCUACAUCAAUUGACUUAUCAGUGAAUAAGCUUUCAGGAUUUAUGCCACCAGAGCUGGCAAACCUUGCCAACCUCCAGGGUUUGAAUCUGUCGUACAAUGGUUUGGAAGGUGUACUGCCAUCUCAACUUUCAAACUGGCAGAGACUGUUGAAGUUUGAUGCAAGUCAUAAUUUGCUGAGUGGAUCGAUCCCAUCCGCGUUUGGAAGCUUGGAGGAGCUAUCCAUUUUGAGUCUGUGUGAGAAUAAUCUUUCAGGAGGUAUUCCCACCUCCUUGUUUGCACUCAAGAAGCUGUCCAAGCUGCAGCUUGGUGGAAAUGCACUUGGUGGGGAAAUUCAUUCAGCGAUUGCGACUGCAUCAAGAGAAACACUGAGGUGUUUAAAUCUGAGUAGUAACAGGUUGACAGGUGAACUUCCUGCGGAGCUAGGAAAAUUUACUUUCCUGGAGGAGUUAGAUAUAGCUGGCAAUAACAUUUCUGGAACUUUAAGAGUUCUUGAUGGAAUGCAUUCAUUGUUAUUCAUCAAUGUAUCAGACAACCUCUUUUCUGGUCCAGUACCUGCACAUCUGAUGAAGUUCCUCAACUCAACUCCUACCUCUUUCUCGGGAAACUUGGGCCUUUGUGUGCACUGUGAUCCAGAAGAAGGCUCAAAUUGCCCUGAGAAUAUCACGUUAAGGCCCUGUGAUCUUCAAUCAAACAAUGGAAGGCACCUAAGUGUAGCAGAAACGGCAAUGAUUGCACUUGGGGCACUGAUAUUUACCAUUUCCUUACUCCUAGUAAUUGCUUACAUGCUUCUGUGGCGCAAAAGUUCUGGGAAAGGAGUUGCAAUCUCUGCUCAAGAAGGUGCAUCGUCCCUGCUUAAUAAAGUAUUGGAAGCUACUGGAAACCUAAACGAUAAGUAUGUCAUUGGGAGGGGAGCUCAUGGAGUUGUAUAUAAGGCCAUCUUGGGUCCAGGGAAAGUGUAUGCUGUGAAAAAGCUGGUGUUUGUUGGUAUGAAGGAUGGAAGCAGAAGUAUGGUUAGAGAAAUUCAAACAAUUGGAAAGGUUAGGCACCGCAAUCUUGUCAAAUUAGAAGACUUCUGGCUGAGAAAGGAUUAUGGGUUGAUUCUUUAUAAUUACAUGGAGAACGGGAGCCUUCAUGAUAUUCUCCAUGAGACUAAGCCACCUGUAACAUUAGAAUGGAGCGUUCGGUACCAAAUUGCUAUUGGAGUUGCUCAAGGGUUGUCAUAUCUCCAUUUCGACUGUGAUCCUGCCAUCGUGCAUCGAGACAUCAAGCCCAUGAAUAUCUUGUUGGACUCUGAUCUGGAGCCUCACAUAUCAGAUUUUGGUAUUGCCAAGCUUCUGGAUCAGUCUGCAGCAACUUCCGCCUCCAAUGCCCUUCAGGGCACAGUUGGGUACAUGGCUCCAGGUAUGUAAUUAUCAUUUGCUUCCUUUCAGUUAGCCGUGUCUUUAGAGAUCUAGUCAUCUGUAGAAAAAUAAUAUUGUCUGUUUUUGUUGACAGAAACUGCAUUUGCAGCUACAAAGAGCAAGGAGUCGGAUGUUUAUAGUUAUGGCAUUGUCCUAUUAGAACUUAUAACUCGAAAGAAGGUGUUGGACCGUUCACUCUAUGGGGAAACAGAUAUUGUAUGUUGGGUUAGGUCUGUUUGGACAGAAACUGAAGAAAUUGAGAAGAUUGUGGAUCCAAGACUUUUGGACGAAUUCAUAGACUCAAGUGUCAUGGAACAAGUAAUUGAAGUGCUUUCACUAGCUCUUAGAUGUACAGAGAAGGAAGUCAGCAAAAGACCCUCAAUGAAAGAGGUAGUCAAGCUAUUAACAAGGUCAAGUUCGAGUAUACGAAGCAAGUACUAGCUAGCAGGGACAGAGUGAGGAUUCCAGCUUCAUGGGUUAUAAUAUCUAGGACAAUGACUGUAGUAACUGGGUUCUAAAUUUAGUAUUUGUACAUAUUUGAUGUCUCACUUCUAGCUCCACCCUAGCUGAAGUAAAGAAAAAAAGAAAGGAAUAUCAUUGUUCUUAGUAUUACCUGAUUGUUUGUUUCACUUUGUUUAUCUUAUGACCUAGUUGAUUAUACUGCUUCUAAUUCUUCUAGCGUUACAUGGUAGGGAUAAGGUCUAAGAACCAGUCUUGUUUUAUGGUUUGGAUGACGUGAAUAAAAGUGGAUGCUUAACUAAGUUUACAUUUGUAUUUAUCUUCAGCUCAAAAUUUACAGCUUAGCUAUGAGUAUGAGGUGCUUAGACAUGGUUUUUCUUGUACAUAACAUGCAUUGACAAGAAGGUUCAUACAUACAUAAAUGUCAAAAGGGGCAUAUAUUUUGGGACCAGGGAAGUGAAGACUAUUAUCAAGUAGAAUAGUUGUACAUGAAUUCGACUUGAGAGUUUUACUUUGAAUAAUAAAAUUUUGUGAUAGAUAGAGUAAUUGGUAGGGGAAAAUCAACAAUGGCUUGACAACACUUUCAUCAUCAUUAUCAGAUAAGAAUAGUGACGAUGCCUUUUAUUUCAUAGCUCCCGUUUAAAUAUUACUUUUAAAAAAUGAAUUAAUGACCUUGAUUCAAAAUUAAUUUACGUAUGAUUUUAUAUCUUGUCUUAUAUACAUCAAAAAGUAUCUAAUGAACAAAUGUUUUAUAUUGAUUUGGAGCAGUGAAAAUUAAGCUGAAACCAACAGACAGUUUUUAAUGAUCUUUUCUGUUGAUGAGAAGACAUGGAAAUGUAGUCAAAAUGAAGCGUUGACAAGAAUGAAGAAAUUGAGAAGAUUGUGGCCUGUGGACCAAUUCAUAAACACUCUCAAGUAUUCUUCCCUAUUUCUUAUAUAGCCAUCAGUAUAUGUACUAUGAUGCAUGUGCCAAGAUUUGUAUAUCUUUUUUGAUUUUGUUGUAUGUAGGGGAGGGGGUAAACAAUAUUUUAUAAGUUGUUGGCAAAUCUGUUGGUUGGAUAUAAUUUCUGAACAACUGAUUGUACCUUCAUCUUGUGGUGAUGAUACUGAUCUCUCAUCAAAAUGUCUGCAAAUAGCUACAACUUUUUGACCAAAUUGUGAUUGGUGAAUUUGAGAUUCCAUCUCUAUACCUCUAACUCCUCCAGUUGAUGGCAAAAAGGCCUCUUCAUAGCCAUUGGGGCUUCCAUCCCAACGGGAACAUAUACAUACAAGAGACAAACCGUGUCUUUCAAUUAGAGAUCAAACAAUCAAAUCAAGAUAUACAAAUUCCAAAUGCCAACACUACAAAGAAUUUCCUAAAUCCACUACCAUCCACCACAAUCUACAAAUUUGCCAACGCAACACAAGUUUCUAUCAAUACAUUUUCUAACCAAGUCGACAUCCCAUAUUUUACAACAGUAAAAUUAAUAAUACAUCAAUAACUCCCAUGAGAUCUGACAGAGGACAUAGAUUGGGCAGAGACAGAGGCUGUUGGACUGUUCAGGUCCCUUUCCCCAUUAGCAACUUUGGGCUUUCCACUCAGCUUCUCCAUCGCAUCUUGAGCAAUUUCAGUAAACCAUUCAUCCUCAGGGAGAACACUGCAGCAAUGAGUACCAAACUAUUAGGUUGAAGCAGCAACCCCCUUAAUGCAAAGCUAUAUACCACAAAUCAUACUACUAAUAAACAGAGCAUUUUAUUCUGAUGAACCAAACCCUUUAAUGCAUUGCAAAAUGUACUCACAGUCAGAUAAGAAUUUGGUAAUAGGGAGAGAGUUUAUACCUAUAUGGAUCCAUCCCUGUUGCAGCAAAGGCUGACAUAGCUUUAGAGAUUAUGUCAUUGACAACCCGAAGCAAAUUUCUAGAUAAGUAGCGUCCUUGCGAAGCAAAGCAUGUGACAAACUUCAUAUCCAAAUAGAACUACAAAAAGUUCAAUGUAAGUUACAAACAUAUUGGCAGUGGAGAGAAAAACAAGAUUAGUGGAUACCAGUAACUACGAACCUGCUGAAGACCAAGAUGACCCAAUGGCCUUGGUCCUUCCUCUAUGUCAUCCCAAAAGCUCUGAUCUUGUGAAAGCCACAAGAUGACAGUUUCUGUAAGCCUCAUCAACAACAACAUAGCAAAUCUUUCCCUUCCCACAAACAUAUCAGCAGCUAUGGCAGCCAUUCUGUUUAGUUUGACAUAAAGUUCCUGGAAAAUCGCAAUAUACAUAGAUUAAACACACAUAGUUGAUCAUGUGUAAACACAAACCACCACUGAAACUUCGAGUAAUACCAAACCAAAACAUUAAGUUGAAAUCAUACAAACAAAAGACAAACAGAUACUAGGAAAAAGUGGUGCUCAUUGCACAACAGCUUAGAUUAUCAUAUUGUUAAUAAUUAAGUACCCAGGAAACCAAGAUCUCAACUCUUACAUUGUUCUCUCAGGGGUCGUUUGGUCUGAAGAGAAGUUAUGUUGAGAUUAGUUAUAAUGGGAUAAGUUAUGACAGGACUAGUUAUGCUAAGAUUAUUUUUUAUUGAUUGUUUGGUUUGUCAUAUUCAAAUAAAUGCAUGACAUAAUUUCUAAGAAUAAGUUGUUUGUUUACAAAAAUACCCUCUAAUAAUAAGUUGUUUGUUUAUAAAAGAGGGUUUAAGGGGGUACUUUUGUUAUUAUACAUUUUUAUCCCGGGAUAAGCAAGUAUUCCCCACACAAGUAGGGAUAACUUAUCCCAGUCAUAAUUUUAAUCAUGGGAUAAGUUAUCCUACACUUGGUAACCAAACAAAGAAUUGAGGGGUACUAAAACCUUAUCCCGGAUUUAUUUUUUUCCUAUCCAUCACACGAAAUGACCCCUUAGUAUUAAUAAGUAUCUAUAAACAUGAAGAUCUAAGCUCUUACACGGUUAAGUAUUAAUGAUUUAAGUAUAAAAAAACACCCAUGUUUGCUAAGAGCCUAAGAGGCAAGUGCAAAUUCUAAUGCUGCAGUAACUAACACAUAAUAAAGACAUCAGUAUUUCAGCAUAUUAACUAACACAUAAUAAAGACAUCAGUAUUUCAGCAUACUUGGUAGUUGAUCAACUUAAUGACUCAUAGUGCUAGCAAGAAAAACACAGGAAGAGAAACUGCACCUGAAAUAUUAGAGAAGGCGACCAUUCCAUAUCGUCUGCAUUUCCCUCCAUGUUUAUAUACAUUUCUGCAGUGAGAUGGCUGUCCCCUUCCUCAGUGAAAAUAAGAUCCAGAGCAUGUUGCUGACAAAAGCUAUCCUUUAAUCGGUCGACUGAGUUCACCAGACGCUUUUUCCAUUCCCUUUGCUCAGGGUGACGGCUUUGCCUAUCUGAAGCUCUUCGUUGAAGAUCAUCCUUUUGAUUAGCCAAGGGAGCAAGCUUCAUAGCUGCACGUGGCAAUAGUUCGUCCGCCAAUAGAGAUGCAUUUGCAAGCAAAGCAAUUUGUUGAGCUUCAGUCUCAGCCAUUCUAACAAUUUUAUUCCCUGAAUCUUCAUAGCUGGCUUCAUCCUCCAUGGAGCCAGGUAAUGCUCUUACAAGUGUGUUCACGUAUGUAUUAAACACUUGAAAUAGACCUUCCAAAGCUUUCCCUCCCAACUGCAUACUUAGCAAUGGUCCCACGUCCUCAAAGAAAUCCUAGAUAAGCAGUAGGAAAGUAGCAAACUAAAUUAAGUAAAAGACAUCAGGGCCAUUUGCAACAUAAUACACAAAAUGAUUGCUUAAAAACAUAGAAUGCAGGUUUCAUGCUGCAAAGAGAAAUAAAUCUGAUAAGUGACAGAUUAACACUCACUCAAGUAACUGUAACCAAUAAAAACAAUUAAAAGAACAUUGUUUUGAUAUAACAAAGUAAGAUUUAGCUAAUCAUCUGAGUCGAUCAUCUACAGCCAAGAAGCAGUAACAGAGUUAAGAAAAAAAUGCAUUGCAUAAACAGGAAAGGUUGGCAUAUACAAGGUUAAAGUAAUUCAGAUCUAUAUUCUUGAGAUGGUAAGAGGAGAGACAUGUUAUUACAAUGUUUUAUGUUGAAUCUAUGUCAUGCCAUGACCAUACUGAGGAAGAUCCGUUGCCUCUAAUGAUUUAAGUAAGCUCAAAACACCACUAACUACCAGAUAGAAGAAAAUAGACGACAAUAAUUGUCUUAUGAAAAGCAGAAUAAUACUUUUAUGCUGACAUAUUUAAGCACAUGAUGGAGGACUAAAGGGUAUAUUGUGCUUCACUCGCAAUCUUCAAAUAUCUUUCAACAUGACAUGAAGUACUAAAAACGGACAUAAUAACUAUAAAUGGUGGAAGCCAGAGGUGUUGAAAAGUAAAGUAAGCAAGAGUGCAGCAGGGAAGGCACCUAAAGUAGGUCGUUGUGUAUAUUGACACAAAUAGCAGGUGCUUGUGAUGGAUAUAUUACACAUUUAUCUUUAUCAGGUCACUAAUUCUGUGACAAUGACAUUACCUGAACCAUCAAAUUGAAUCGGUGCGCACUACUUGAAAGUUUAUGCUGAUAUGCCCCUGUAGAACCAGGAACAGCACCAGCUGACCUACCGGAUGCGCGUGUAACAGACGGUGGAUAUGUGAGUUCCCAAUCAUCAGCAGCUGCCAAAGCAGCAGUGCUUUCUUCAAUUCGUUUUAAGUUGGCAUCUAGCGCUUGCUCAACGCUUGGUCUAAAAAGCUUCAGAAGCACAGGACAAAGUGCAAGUCCACGAGCUUCCAACAAGGAACAGUGUCCUAAAGCUAUUUGAACACAUUCUGCAGCAGCACGUAAGCCACCAGCAGCUGCUGAUGAAGUUAAUGCAUGUCUUUUGACCAAAAGUGCAAAUGCCUCAGUCUGCUUAGUAGACCACAUCACUAGUUCGGAUGUAUAAGCUGGCUCUUUACCAAAAAUAGCCAAUGAAUCGGUGGCUGCUUGAGCAAUGCCAGAGAAUACGAGCUGAGAAAGGGCGGCAGUAUAAGCUCCUCCAUAAGAGGUGCUAGAUGGACGAAGAUUUUUCAUGUUAAAUUGGUAUUUCUGGUAAUGUGCAUUAAGGAGCAAACUAUGAGCACGGGGGCCAUCCCCGAGCUUUUUAAGAGCUGAAAUAGCAGCACGAAGCUCUGCACCACGAGUAGAAGGUUGACAGGCAAUUUCAGCAAGCUGAUCAGCCAGCUUUUGCCUACGUUCAGCAAUGGAAGUUUGUAGUGACAACAGCACAGCAUGACCUAACGUUUUCUUCUCUUUUGCAUCAGAUGCUACGCGUUCUCCUUCAUCAAGACUCAACAAGGCUUCAUCUACUCUCCUUUCAGCUAAUAGAACAUCCAGGUGAUCAGGAAACUCCGUAAGCCACUUCUCUAGGUCUGAAGGCUCCCUAACGUCAGCAGUAGGAGAGCUAUCGGACGUGGACUCGGGAACAACAUCAGACAAAGAAUCAAUAUGAACUCCCUCAGCUAAACCAUGAAUUAAAGUUGCCUGAGUAGAUAGCAAGUUUUUCAUGGAUGAGAGUUCACCCUCCAAAUCUGAUAUCUCUUUUGAUGUGCUGCAAGUAAAUGAAAUACAAAACAAGUAAGCACUGACCAAACACAACAGUAAAGCUAUCAGUCUGUCACACACUAUAGAUAAAGAAUAUGCAAGCAACAGUUUAAAAAGGCAGUAGCAGGUCAAAAUAUCAUUCUCAAUGGGAAGCUUCUCUUAUUUCAUAGGCGUUUUCAGUUUGGGACAAUCGGUCCGUAGCUGCUACAUAAAGGACUCACCGAAUGAAAGCUGUAUAAUUGGCAUAGACACUUCUGCGCAUUUCCUCAGCAGAAGCCCUUUUCAGUUCCAAUAGAUAAGAGCACAGCUGCCUUAUUUCCUGUAAAUUGAUGGAAACUUCUAUCAACAACUCACCACAUUCAUUAGGCAAGAAUUUAAACGCCAAGGUGAAAAACAUGGAUGCCCAAAUAUGAAUUCAAAGUUAAAACCAUAUUCACGAAGAUAAAACCAUAUUCAGAUCAUUCAAAUAACAAUUUAGUCAAGUAAGCCGAAUCCCCUCCCAAGAAUUAGUUGUUCCCCUAAUCUCAAAUAUUCAUUCCUCCAUAUUACGACCACGAAAGAAAAAGAGCAAUCAACAUCUGGUAGAGGGGAACUAGCUUCUGGAAGUAUUUGUCAUCCCUAUCUUUCAAUCAUUUCCAGAUACAUGGUUGUCUUCACUUUGUCAACUGCAACUACCUAUAGCCAACUCUCUAGAAUCUAGAUGUGGUCUGACUGGACAAAAUAGAAGCUGAGAAGUUUGAAAAUGUAUUAUGAAACUGAGUCAGAAGAGCUAUAUAUCUUUGUGGCAGAAACAGACUUCAGGCAAUUAAGAUGCUAGCGGAAGUUAUGAUACCAGAAAUGAGUGCCAUAACCAGCUGCAACAGCACUCUACUUUAAAAUACAGAACUGAAUCAGCACUGAUCUAUGUCUUGUGGAAGGCACAACAUUCAGAGUAUGUUUCAAAACUAAGAGUGGUACUCACUAAAUGGUGCUAAUGAAAUUUAUCAUAGUAGCAAGGGGUAUUGUAACUUGUGGCAUUGCUCCUCCAACAUAGAAUAGAGAAUAUAGGUGGAAGCAAGGAGGUAGAUGGAGAAAGGUAGAAUUUGAAAACUAGUAGCAAUAAUAAGUAUUAGAGCAGCUGUUUUAUUCAUAAUAAGAGCGUGUUUUGGCUCAUGAACUAGAAAUUCAUGAUUGAACAUCUCCGGAUUAUCAUUCUCGUCUUGGAUGGGUCAUACUCACCUUGGAUAAGCCAUUGGGUAAGUAAUCUUCGGAUAAGAUCUUUUACAUAUGUUUGAUUAACAAAAAAAAAUGAAACUCUGGAUCAGAAUAUCUAAUCAUGUCAUGUAUUCGGCUCACCAUUAAUGAAUAUUUUGAUAAGAAAACAAUUGACCAAAUGUCGUGGGAAAAUGAAAUCUAGUUUUUAUUUCACUUAACUUUUUAAAUUUAUUAAUUAUAAAACCAAAAACACAUAUAGUGCCAUCAGAUACUAAAAUUAACUCUUUUUUAUUGGUUACUAAAAGUAACUAAUUACUAUCAUCACAAGGCUUAAGAAUAUUUUGGUAAUGCAGUUAAAAAAAUUAAAAAGUAAAAAGAAUGUAGUGGGAAAUGAACCCUAAAAACUAAUCCAUUAAUUGGAGAAGUGGUAACACCUGGAAAUUUGAAAAACAACAUCCAAAUACAGGGACAAACAAACUAGGAUGACUAUGCAUUUCUGCAUGUUUUGAAUAGCUUGAUUAGAAAGACAUCGUGGAUGUUUUUAGAGAGGGAGAGAACAUAUUUUGUUUAUAAAAAUCACGUAUCAACAGUACUUAAAGAUUUGUGGAAGGAUGAAUGCCGAAUGAUCCAAAUAUAGCCUUGGACUUCAUAUACUCCUUACAUACAUGAGAUAAGCUAGCUAUAUUUUGCAUACCAUCAGUACCCUCUUGUUGCUGAGAUAUUCUGUGAAGAACACUAGUUUACUUAUUUUUCUGAGGAACUGAAAUGGAAUGUCACUGUACAAAACUAGUUUACUUAAUAAAAAGAAACUUACGAGUUUGUCUGAUUGAAUAAACAUUUGGUUAAAUAAAAGGCCUAUAAUUUGUCAUUAAAAUAUGUGUUAUCACUCUUUUUAAGUUCCAAUACAGUAAGACUCUCAUCCUGGCUAUUAAUACAACCUCCUUCGGUAUUAAAUAGUGACAUUGGGAUUGAAGGUUUUGAGAUGACUCAUCCUUGCUUACUUUUUGCAUCCAAAAACAGAAUGAUUGAAUUGGUCUCCAAUACCAAAUAAUUCAGCCUCGUUCCCCACAUAAAAUGCACUAAGGGACUAUAUUAUAUCCUUGUAAAGAUUCACGUUGACACCAGUAUUGUCAAAAGCACGAUGAAGCCUUGAAACGAGCCUCAAAACGUGUUGAGCAUUUCCCCUUGCUAAUGUGCACUUCAAUGUUGUUAUCAAGGUACUAAGGCAUACUUUUCCUUGCCAUUGAGAAGAGGCUAAACAAUAGAUAUUUCACUUCUUUUUUUAUAACCGUGGUGUUGAGGCCAGCUUGCACGCACUUAACUAAUCCACGAAAUACCUACCACCUCCCACCACCAGCAGAUAUCUGGUAACUCUAUCCAUCAAUGUUGGCACAGAUAGGAAGAAAACACCUAGUGUUUUUUUGUCCGCUCUGAAAUUUGAACCUGAUAUCAUGAUUCUCACCGACUUCAUUGACCUCAUUGAUUUUUCACUUUACCAUAAUUUUCUUUUUAAUUUCUUUGUUCAUGUAUCUGUCAUUCAUGGUUAUAAUUGAUAGCUUUGGACUACAUGUUUUUAAAUUUUUUCUCCCUUCGUGCCUUUUUCUUGUGUUUUAUUUGCCAUUGCACUUGUAGCCCAACAGACCUUAAGAGUUUUUUUCUGCUUUUUGCUUUUGAUAACACUGGUUGAAACAUUUCCCUCAUCUCCACCUCCCCAAAAUGAAAUGAAGUCUGAUGUGCAUAACAAGAAGGGAGAUUUGUGAGAGCUGAUAAUGCUUCAAUUGUUACUGUCACUCUUUUUCUCUCCAAACAAGUUAUAGAGUAAAAAAAAGCCACUUCGUUUACCAAAUUCCUUCUACAAAAAAAAAACAUUUUCUUUUUUCUUAAGUUAUGGAGCUACGAGGAAGGUAAACUCCUCAACUGCCAACAACAUUUUCCUUAAAACAACAAUUCGUGCAACAAGUCAUAGUAAAUUCAGUGGAAGGGCUGAAAUUGGCAAUCAACAUUAGCAUUAUUGUAAAUAAUUGAGGAUACUGAGAUGACAUCAACUAAUUGGAAUGAGUUACUAUUGAAAUCAAGGAAUUGUAAAUAUAUCCAAGUGAUGCAGGUAAAGUGCGUUCAAUGUUAAGUUAAAAACAUGAGUGAUCUUCAUCAAUUGGCAGUCGUAAAUUCAUAAUCCUGACCCUUCCGAUCCACUAAAACUAACAAAACUCAAUAAUUUUUUUUGGAUAAAUCACACGUGGGGUGAAAUUGAGCACUGAAUUAUAUAUAUGAAAAAAAAAAAGGCAAGGCAAUUAAGAAAAUUGUACCUUCUCGUUGAGAGAAUGACAUUUGGACUGGACAAAAGCAUCAGCAUCGAAAUUGUCGGAUUUGAAGACGUUAAGAUUUUCUUCGAGCUUGGGGCCGGUAUCCUUGUUGAUUCCUUUAGACUGAGUGACCGCAUGAGCUCUUGAACGAGAGGAUUUGACGGAAGCCAUGAGGUGAAUCUUAAUGGCGGAUGUUUAGGGUUGAAAUAUAGAGCAAAAAUAGGGAAGACGUAAGAAAAUCAAAAGGGUAGAUCUAAUCCUAAGGUGAGAGUUGUUAUCGCCAUCGCCAUGAUUGACGAAAGAAGAGGAGAUUAUUAGUUGUUCGUAGAAAGAGAAUAAAAAUUUGUUUGAUUGUGUUGUUGGUUCGCUAAUCGCCAGCCUACCCAAUUUUCUUUCUCUUACCUAUCUUUAUUUACUGCCCGCCCGGUACCCAUCCCUACCUUCCGGCUGCUUGUUUCGUUUUAACUUUUCAUUGUUCUUUACAACUCAAAUUGUUUUACAUUAUUUUGAUAUUAAAAUUAAUGUACUAAUAUUUUGGUGUAAAAUUAACUGCCGUUACUAUUAUUAUUUAAUAUUUUACUACAGGUUACUAUUUUAUUUUAUAAAAGAACUAUCAUACUAUUAUUUAAUAUUGAGUUACUGCUAUUAUUCAAUGCUGGGAAAAUUAUAUAUAUAAUAGCAAACUAAUUAAUCAAAUUAAAUAUUAUUAUCACACUUUAAUUUAAUUAUGUCAUGUAGCAAACUGUUUGUCAUUCAGCUCUCUCACUCAAACUCUCAACUCCAAACAUUCUUGAAGUGGAAAAAAUAAAUAUAAAAGACUGAUUUAAAGUCAACAUUGUCUAAAAUUCAACUAUUGAAAAGAUAAGACCAAUUCAAGAGACGAACAUUGAUUACUCAUUAGUUUAAAAGAUAGACAAUGAUACAUAUGGCUUAUUAUCUAAUUAAAAAUAAGUCUAUACGAGUUAUUUUUCCGUUGGACGACAUUGUUGACAUUCUUACAAACUUGCCUAUUUAUUAAAUGAUAAUGACUUUUUUUAUGAGCUAUUGUCCCUUAAUGCAAACUUGUGAUCAUCAAUUUAUUUGGAUUUCAAAACAAUUUAUGAAUUCAAACAUAAUACGAGAAAUACUAUAUCAUCCGCAUUCAACAAGAGAAAUACUCAUAAUUGUAGCGUAUAAAUAUUACGAAUUAAAAGGAAAAAUAAAUAGUUGUUGACAACCUAUAUGAGAGAAUGACAAUAAUUUUCUUUCUAUUUUUCAAUUUAUUGAAUAAGAUAAAGAAAUAAAUAUGUUAAAUACAUUAGUGACAAUCAUGUCAUUUGAUACUCUUAAUUAUAACACAUAUAUAUUAGAAAUUAAAAGGAAUUUUUGUGAAUAACAUAUAUGAGAAAAUGACAAUGAUUUUCUCUAAUAUUUAAAAUAGGAUAGAUAAUCACAAAUUAUUUUUAUGGUAAAGAAAAUUUACCAACUGAUAUUGAUGUGUUUAUUAUUGACGGAGUAGUAGAAAAUUCAUGAUUUGUUAGCUUUUUUCUCGAUAUCUAAUUCUUUUUAUGACUAUUUUUCAAACAUCUUGUUUAUUUUAAUUGUUUUUCUUUCAUUUUUUAUUUUUUAACCUUUCAGGUGUUAGGACCGAAAAUAAGCAGGUGUAAACGCGGAAGCCAGCAUAGCAAACCUCGAAAGAUCACGAGUAAGAAGACAACGAGAAAUAUACCAAAAGACACAAAGAUUUAACGUGAUUCGGUCAAUCGACCUACGUCCACAAAGGAGAUGAGCAAUCCACUAUAAAUAUGAGAGUACAAAAUACAGAGGGAAACAACCUUAACCAAAUUCACUCAGAAUACAUGGUUGGUUCACAUAAGUGAUAACGUAUCAAGCUUGUGACCCACAAUUUCUCCCCCUAACCAAAACUCUCAAGCCCUUUAAGACUACAUUGUGAAUGCUGAUUAAGUUAGAAGGAACAUGUCUCUAUUUAUAGAGUCCUAAACUUUUUCCUACUAGAAAAAGUAUUAGUCAAUCCAAAACCUUUUCCUAAAAGAAAAACCUAUUUAUAGUAAGAAAUUUAGGGCAAAAUAAAACCCAACAUCAGGAGCAUCAAACAAGUUUACUGAAUAUGCACGUAUCAAAGAGAAAAAAAUUCAACAACAUAGCAAAUAAAUAAAAGAAAAUCAUGAAAGGGAAGAAGGUAUCAAGCACCAGAAAAAGAAAAAGAAAAAGAAAAACAACAAAGCUCCUAGGAAGUAAAUCUAGAGAUAAAAGAGAAAAAAAUCUCAAAAUGAAAAAAAUUUCAUCGAUUUCAGCGUAAGAUAAUAGACAGAUCAUUGACAAUAAAUAUAAGAUAUGUGGAAAUUAAAUUAAUUUUAUGCAAUAGUUAAUCUAAUAUCCUAUUUAGUAUGAUAUUUCUAUUAUAUAGAAGAGCGAAGUGAUAAGACGAUCAAGGGUAAAAAUGCAAUUUCAUUCCAACAAAAAUAUAUUAAGAAAAAUAGUAAAUAAUUCUAAAAAUAUCUUUUUAUAAAUAAAAUGAAUAAUCAUUAAGGGUAAAAAUGUAAUUUCAAGCUAAUAGAAAUCUACCAAGAAUGAUAACAAGAAAAUUAAAUAAUUCUAGAAACAUCUUUAGUUAUUGUUUAUUUGGUUAUUACUUUUUUUUUGCGAGUUAUUGUAAUAUCUAUUCAUUACUCUAUUUUAUUAUCACUUUUUUAAUCUAACUCUUAAUAUUUUUUCUACUCAUUAUGCUUAUAAAAAAUGCCUACUUUAAUAUAAAAAUACAUUAUGAAUUAAUUAUUUUUACCUUUAUUUGACUAAUUAAUAUACUUGAAAAUAAAUAAGUGUGAUAAACUUAAUAAUAUAUAUUAGAUUGAAAUAAAGAAAAAGUUGUUAAAAGAUAACUUUACAAAAAAAAUGAAUAGGAUGAUAUAUUUGUAUUUUAAGACGAUCACGAAUGAAAACAUAAUUUCAUUAUAACAAAAAUCUAUUAAGAAAAAUAGCAAAAACAAUGAAUAAUUCUAGAAACAUCUUUCUAUAUAUGAAGCGAAUGAUGAUCAAAGGUGAAAAUAUAACUUCACGCAAACAAAAAUUUAUCAAGAAUGAUAACAAGAAAACUAAAUGAUUCUAGAAAUAUUCUUAGUUAUUAUGAUUAUCAUUAACUCAUGUUGUUAUUACUUCACUUUUUUAUGACUUAUUGUGAUAUUUACUCAUUACUUUAUUUUACUAUCACUUUCAUUUAAUUAUUGAUAUUUAUUAUAUUCAUUAUAGUUACUACAAAUGUCAAUUUUAAUAUAAAAAUUCAUUAUUUAAAAUAUAUAGUUAAUUACAUUUAAUUUUAUUUUUGCUCUAAUUAAUACACCUAAAAGCAAAUAAUUAAAUGUAAUAAAUUAAUAAUAUAUAUUAGAUUGAAAUUAAAGAAUAAAUAAAAUUAGUUGUGUUAUUAAAAAAUAAUAUUUUAAGAAAUGUCAAAAAGUAACUGUACAAAUAAAAUAAAUAGGAUUGUAUAGCUCUGCAUUAAAAUAUAUAAUCAAAUUUUUACUUUUAUUUGUUUUGAAAUAUAUUAACCUGAAGAGUGAACUAACGUAAGUUUGAUUUAAAUUUAAAGUUGACGAGUCAAAAUUUGAUAUUUUUCUAUUAUAUAAAAAGUAUGAAGUUGAGGAUAAUCAAGGAUAAUAUUGUUAUUUCAUAUAUAUUUCAUUUUAAAAUUCUAUAAAUUCUAUUUUUAAAUUUGUCAAAAUAUUUUUUCAAGUGACUAAAUUUCUUGCAUAAAUUACAUGAUUAUUCUAGAAACUAUAAAUUAUAAGAUUUUUUUAGAACUAAGUCCAUGACUCAAGUAAAUAGACACUAACACAUUCUUCAUUUGAUUCACUCCUCAAUUCUCUCCCUUCUCAUGUCAUAUAUCAAUAAAUUUGUCACCCCCUUUAUUUGUAAUUUGCAACCUAAAUAAUACAUGUUUCGAUAUAGAUUUCUUAUUAGGAAGAUCAAUAACACAAUUCUUUUUCAAUAUUAAGAUUUUUAUUUUUAAUUAGUUCCCUACAUGAUGACUCCGCUUUUGUAAAACAAUUAUAAGACAAAAGUAAAAUUCACUAUUUCUUAGUAUGAACACGUCAUUUUGAGACUUACACACAUAACAAAUUUUGAACAAAAUUCAAUUGAUCCAUAUUAUUCAAACAUUCUUAUGAAUAUGAUAAUGGACCAGAUAACAUGUUAAAUCCAAUAUCAAUUACAAUUUCAAUUCUCAAAAGGUCUAAUUCAUAAUGAAUGUAUCCAGUGAGCAAGCUCUUCAAGAAUAUAAUUUUCAAAAAUUUCAGAACAUGUUAUGACCUUUUGUCACGACCGGAAUCUAGACCCCAGACGAGACCGGCGUCGUUGACCUCUCAGAGGUCGCAGACAAGCCUACUUACGUCAUUCUUACUUUACAUAGAUUAAUUUUAGCGGAAAAUUUGGAAUUUUUGAUUCUUUAAUCAUACUUGCUGAAUAUUCUUAACAUUUCGUAAUCGUUCAUCAUCAACCAUCUAACAUUUAAGAGAUAAGCAACUGAAAGAAAUAAUUCAUUAAAUAUUAAUUGUAUAUCGGCCAAAAUAGCACCAAUACAAAGUCUGAACCAAAACAGGAAAGAAACGCUAGUGGAACAUGCUCCACUAGCUCAACUCUAAAACUACGCUAGAAUGUAAAACAGUAGCAUCCUCGAAGGCAUAAGGACCUACCAAACUCCGGAUGAAUGCUGACGUCCAGAUAGCUGCAACAAAGAACUUGUAGCUCUACCGUACACCUGUGCCUGCACCUAAAAGUAGAGGUUUGUAUGGAAUUAGUACACACUUGUACUAAGUAUGGGUAUAUGCAAGCACACACCAGGGACAUGCAUGAGAAAGAAUAGCUCUUUCCUAACAACAUGAUUUUUGGAAGUCAAGUCGGUGGACUUGCUAAAAUGAGAUUAGGAAGGUUAUGCCACGAGAGUGACAUGCAUCAUUAUAGUUAUGGUAUGGCACACAACACAUAAUAUCUUCAUAUAACACAUAACAUAUAGCACAUAGUUUCUUUCAUAUUGUUCAUUCAUAUACCAUGAGACCUUACUAUCAUAGACUUAACCUUAAGACUUCCCAAAAUGAGGGCUCAACAUAUGGGACCUCAACUAGGGAGCCUUCUUCAGCAAACACAGAGCCUGCUUCGUUCAUUCGUUCGUAUUUCAUUUCAAUUCAUUCAUAGGCCAGUGCGAACACCAGCUAUACCUAGGAUGUAGUUUAAGACUUUCAUCGGGUUUGCUGUGCAAUGAUCAGGAAUGACCUAAUGUCAUUACCUAAAUCUAGCUCACCUCUUGAUUAUCCUAUCCUAACACCUUCGGUAUCAUUCAUUUCUUUAUAUGAUUCAUUUGAGGCUGGCCUCAUUCAUUCAUUGGGAACUUUAACUUUAACCGACAUAGAUCAUGUGAGCAUCAUGAAAUCCAGUGUCUUCCCCACACCGAAAAGAGGUGGAAUCACCGGCCAAAGCGAUUCAAUAACAUGCUAGCGUAUAUGGGAAUUUAACCCCGCCAGAUCCCUAUAGUGGCAAUAUAGGUUCAAAGACUAGGAGAUGUAUGGAGACCCAUACCCGGCAAGCCGGACAGUCUCAUCUCAUGAGAGUUACGUGAACCUCCGCCCUUCCCGAAAGAAGGCAUCACCGCUCAUAGCUAGCCUAUCGGUGCUCAGUAUAAAGUUCCAUUACAUCCAACUCAUACAUCAUGGAAGUUGUCUUCUAGUAUGAGGGCAUCAUAGCUCAAUAGAUGAUUUCUCAUCUCAUUAUUAGUAUUAAGUGUUUUAAACUCAAUAUUUUUCAUUAAAGUAUUUAUAGAGACUGGUCUCUUCAUUAUCUUACACCCUCCUUGAUGAAUACGUAUUGGUAACAUUUACUUAGGCUCGUUUGAGAUUGCUCUCUCCAUAUACAUUAGCCUCACAUCAUGAUUGUCACCACAUUCUUCAUUUCAUUACGUACAUCUUAGGUUCACUUAUUUUUUUGAACGUAUGUUAAACUUAUGUGUCUAUACAUACAAGCCAUGGGGCUUCGUUUAUAGUUCGUUAAGUGAUUCUUAUUUUCCUAAGAUUAUGUAUUACAAGACUUAUGUAUCUUGUACAUAUACCAAGAUCUUGAUUUUUGAUCAAAGUAGAUUACAUUAUUCUUGAAUAUUUUACUCACGUAUGACUUAUGUAUCAAUACGGAGGUUUGGGCACGAGAACCCAAAUCUUGAAUUAUUUGGACAUCAUUUAUAUUUUUCAUUGAUUUUAGUUCUAAUAUUCAUAAAUUUAGAACUCUAAAUUAAAUCUCAACAUUUUCGUGACAUAAUACAUUUUCUAUUUUAAUUAGAAUUCUAAAUUAAAUUUCAAUCAUUUACAUGAAAGAAUAAUUUUCUAAUUUAAUUAGAAUUCUAAUUUAAAUCUCAAUAUUUACAUAAAAGAAUUAGUAUUCUAUUUUUAAUCAAAAUUCUAAAUUUAAUCUCAAUGUUUACAUAAGAGAAUUAAUUUUUUUCAACUUUAAUUAGAAUUUUAAUUUAUUAUUAUUAUUAUUUUUAAUUACAUUCGCUUGAAUAGGGAGGUUGUGGGUUCGAACCCCCACAGCCCCCUUUAUUUUUCUCUUAUUUUCGCUGGAAAUGGAGGCUGUGAGGUGGUGGGUUCGAACCCCCACAGCCUCACCUUUAUUCCCUUAAUAUUUGUACCCCUCCCUUCAACUCUGAGGUCGUGGGUUCGAUCCCCACGCCUCGCAUCCCUUUUAUUCCCUUUUUUUUUUUUCGCGAACUGGGGGUCGUGGGUUCGAUCCCCGCCCCCAGCAUUCCCUUUUAAAUCCCCCCUUUUUUUUUUUCUUUUCGCGAAUGGGGUCGUGGGUUCGAUCCCCGCCCCCAACAUUCCCUUAUUAAUCUUUUUUUUUUUUUUUUUUUGCGCGUGGCUGGGGUCGCGAGUUCGAUCCCUGCCAGCCCCAUUUUUUUUUUUAAUUAAGGCAUGCUGCAGGGAGGUCCUGGGUUCGAUCCCUGCAGGCCUCAAAACUUUUUUUUUUAAUUCUUUUGAUGUUCAAAAAUUUCCAGAUUCUUUUAAAGUCUGUUUUCAAGUUCUGGAAAUUUAUUCUACGAUUUUUCUUCACUUUUUCAUCAAGUUUAACAUUAAUUCUUAGGGAAAUUUCAUGGUUCAUUCAUAAUGUUUUAAUUACACAUUAUAUUUUUUUUUUAUAGAUUCGUCUAACCAAGAAUUACUCCCUCAAUCAAGCCACCUAACAUUUCAUAUGAACUUCACGUCUUACCCCAUUUUAUUCACGAAAAAUAUACAAUCAUAUUACAUUAAACUUUUGGAGCAUUACAUAAAGAACCUCAUUCACUGUAACAUACUUACACAUAAUUUCAAGAAAAACAUGGUUGCCUUUCAUACGAUUCCAAGUACACAAACAUAAUCAUAUUCAUCGCGAAAACAUAAUAUACACCUAAAUCUACCAGCAAUCAUACCCAACCUAAAAAUUCAUUGGGAGCUAGUGGCAGGGGCAUGCAACGGGAAACAGCCUUAGUUUCGAGAUGAAUAACUUGAAUCGUAAGGGGCCUCUUGGGAAAGGAGCCAAGAGAGAAGAAACCCAUACCUUAAUCGAUGUUCAAACUUUAAUGUUGCUGCCCGGAAAACUCCUCCAAACCACUCCCAAUUCACUUCAACGCACACCUCUCUCGACGAACCUCUCUUAGCCUUGACGUUUUGAUUACUUAUUUUCUUUUACUUGAAAAUUUUUGUGAGUUUUUCAAGCAUGAAAACUGUUGAUAUUUUUGGCAGAAAUAAUGUGAUGAAGAUGGAGAACGUGAGAGAGAGAGUUAAGGAGCGUGAGAGAGAGAGGACUAUUUGGAUUAGGAGACUAAUUCAAAAAUCAGUCAAAUAAUAAAUAAAUACAAAUCUGUUUUUGAUUUAUUUAUUUAUUUAUUCAUUUAAAACGUGAAAGGACAAUUACGCCCUUUAAAUACUUAUUUAUUCUUAUUUAUAUAAAAUUUUUUUUUUUGAAUCGUUACAUUAUCCCCCCCUUAGGAACAUUCGUCCCCGAAUGACACUACCAUUACACCUCAUAAUGCCAAUCAGAUCAUAACUUAAUUGCUAUGUACAAUCAGCCAAUAGCAACAAAUACGAAGAGAUAAGGAACUAUAGUCUUAUGAGUAGGAAGCCUAACCUCAAGAGUUGAAAAGAUGUGGAUAUCGGGAUCUCAUGUCGGCCUCGGCCUCCCACGUAGCACCCUCAACAAGAUGGUUUCUCCACAAUACCUUCACUGUGGCAAUCUCCUUGUUCCUCAGCCGCUUGACCUGUCUGUCUAAGAUCUCAACAGGUACUUCCUCAUAGGACAAGUCUUCACCAACCCCCAAAUCUUCUACAGGUAGGAUUGAUGCUGGAUCACCUAGGCACUUCUUCAACAUAGAGACAUGAAAGACUGGAUGAACAGAAGCUAGCUCCGCAGGCAAUGCUAACUCAUAGGCCACCUCACCCACGCGUUGUAGGAUCUCAUAUGGCCCCACAUAUCUCGGACUAAGCUUCCCUUUUCUACCAAAUCUCAUCACCCCUUUCAUAGGAGAUAUCUUCAAGUAGACCUGGUCACCAACGUUAAAUUCUAAGGGUCGUUUUCUGUUGUCUGCAUAUGAUUUUUGUCGGCUGUAAGCAGUAGACAACCUGUCCCUAAUCAGUCUAACUUUCUCCAAGGCCUCAUGAAUGAUCUCUGGACCCAAAAUAGAUGACUCUCCAACCUCGAACCACCCAACUGGAGAUCUACACCUCCUACCAUACAAUGCCUCAAACGGUGCCAUCCCAAUGCUGGAGUGAUAGCUAUUAUUAUACGAGAACUCUAUCAAAGGUAGAUGGUCAUCCCAAUUACCUCUAAAGUCGAUCACACACGCCCUUAACAUGUCCUCCAAUGUCUGAAUAGUGCGCUCUGCCUGCCCAUCUGUCUGAGGAUGAAAGGCAGUGCUAAGUUUCACCUGCGUGCCUAAGCUUUUCUGGAAAGAUCUCCAAAAAUGUGAAGUAAACUGAGCUCCUCUAUCUGAAAUAAUAGACAAAGGGAUCCCAUGCCAUCUCACAAUCUCAUCAAUGUAAAGUCUCGCGUAAUCCUCGGCCCUGUAAGUAGACUUCACUGGGAUAAAGUGGGCAGACUUAGUCAAUCUGUCCACAACAACCCAUAUAGAGUCAUGCUGCCUCCUAGUCCUCGGAAGACCAACUACGAAGUCCAUAUUAAUGGCCUCCCAUUUCCAAGUCGGAACCUCAAUGAUCUGAGUCAGACCACCAGGCUUAAGAUGCUCUGCCUUAACCUGCUGACAAUUAGGACACUUAGCCACAUAGUCUGCAAUAUCCCUCUUCAUGCCAUCCCACCAAUAAAUCUGCUUAAGAUCAUGAUACAUUUUUGUGGAACCUGGAUGUAUGGAAUAUCUGGACCCAUGGGCCUCUGUAACAAUCUUGGUCCGUAAAUCAUCUACAUCUGGUACGCACAACCGGUUCUGGUAUCUAAGUAUGCCAUCAUCUCCCAAAGCAAAAGACUCAUUCAUUUUUAACAACACUGAGUCCUUCAUCUCCAUCAACACCGGAUCAAGAUGCUGACCCUUCUUGACUUCCACUAUCAGGGAUGAUUCAGAACUAGGGUGAACUGAAACACCUCCACUAGUAGAGUCAACCAACCGCACACCCAGUCUGGCUAGUCUGUGUACCUCUUUCACUAGCUCCUUCUUCUCAUCCUCAACGUGGGCUGUACUCCCCAUGCUCAUCCUGCUCAAAGCAUCAGCCACAACAUUAGCCUUACCUGGAUGAUAGUGCACAUUCAUGUCAUAAUCCUUCAACAGCUCCAACCAUCUGCGUUGCCGUAGAUUCAGCUCCCUCUGCGUGAACACGUACUGGAGACUCUUAUGAUCCGUGAACACAUCCACGUGUACUCCAUAUAGAUAAUGCCUCCAUAACUUCAACGCAAACACCACAGCUGCCAACUCCAAGUCAUGAGUGGGAUAAUUCUUUUCAUGAACCUUGAGCUGUCUGGAAGCAUAAGCUAUCACCUUACCAGCCUGCAUAAGAACACAUCCCAAACCGACCCUAGAUGCAUCGCAAUAGACAGUGUAAUUCUCGCCACUCUUAGGCAGAGUAAGCACCGGGGCUGAAGUGAGUCUGUCCUUGAGCUCCUGGAAACUCUUCUCACAAGUGUCCGUCCAUUCAAACUUGGAUUUCUUCUUUGUCAAGGUUGUAAGUGGGGCAGCAAUGGAAGAAAAUCCCUCCACGAACCUGCGGUAGUAACCAGCCAAUCCCAGAAAGCUACGGAUAUCGGUGGGUGUAAGAGGCUUUGGCCAUUUCUUAACUGCUUCAGUCUUUCUGGGGUCCACUUCUACACCUUGAUCGGACACAACAUGUCCCAGGAAGGUCACUGAUCUCAGCCAGAAUUCACACUUGCUGAAUUUGGCAUACAACUGAUGCUUUCUAAGUACCUGCAAGGUUAGUCUCAAAUGCUGUUCAUGCUCUUCCUUGGUCUUAGAGUAGAUGAGAAUGUCAUCAAUGAAUACUAUGACGAAAGAGUCAAGGUAUUCACGGAAAACUCUAUUCAUGAGGUCCAUAAAUGCAGCAGGUGCAUUCGUGAGACCGAAUGACAUAACCAAGAACUCAUAAUGACCAUAACGGGUACGAAAAGCUGUUUUUGGGACAUCCCUAUCCCUAACUCUAAGCUGAUGAUACCCUGAACGAAGAUCGAUCUUAGAGAAGAAACUAGACCCUUGGAGCUGAUCGAACAAAUCAUCAAUUCUGGGAAGUGGGUACUUAUUCUUUAUAGUGACUUUGUUGAGCUGCCGAUAAUCGAUACACAUUCUAAGGGUCCCAUCCUUUUUCUUUACAAACAACACUGGAGCGCCCCAAGGGGAUAUGCUCGGCUGAAUGAAACCCUUAUCCGUGAGAUCCUUUAACUGCAGCUUCAACUCCUUGAGUUCUGCUGGAGCCAUUCUAUAAGGAGGAAUUGAGAUUGGUUUAGUAUCAGGUUCUAAGUCGAUACCAAAGUCAAUCUCUCGAAGGGGAGGGACUCCAGGCAAAUCUUCAGGAAACACAUCUAGGAAUUCAUUUACUACAGGCACCGAGUCUAUGGAAGGAACGUCAUGAUCUAAAUCAUUAACACUCACUAGAUGACAUAAUAACCCUUUGGCCAUCAUUUUAUUGGCCUUAAGAUUUGAAAUCAAGGGGUUAGGACGAAUCGGAUUGUACCCCUCCCAGACUAACUCUUCCUCAUUAGGGAAACGAAACCUCACCACUCUACUACGACAGUCCAAGCAAGCAUAAUGGCCGUGAAGCCAGUCCAUGCCAAGAAUAAUAUCAAAAUCAUGCAUGGGUAACUCAAUCAAGUUUGCACACAUAGCCUUGCCACUCACAACUAUUGGGCAAUUCUUGUAUACCCUUUCGGUUCUCACAUUUUCUCCUAAAGGCGUACUAACCACUAUAGGAUCAUGCAGAACUUCAGGUAGUAUUUCAAAGGUAAGGGCAAGCAGAGGAGUUACAAAGGAAAGCGUAGACCCUGGAUCAAGUAAAGCAUAAACAGAAGUUGAGAAUACUUGCAGCAUACCUGUGACCACAUCAGCGGACUUCUCCUGCUCCUCCCUACCUUUCAAGGCAUAAAAUCUGUUCCUCUUCGGAGGUUCGGCUGCUGCUGCAUUAUGUGGGGUAGGCCUAGGCUGAGCAUUACCCCCAGCCUGACCUCUGUUCUGGGGACAGUCUAUGACCAUGUGUCCACUCUUACCACAACCGAAACAGGCAUUAGUGCCCUGUCUACAUUCUCCCAGGUGCAUUCGGCCACACUUAGUACAAGUCUUCCUUGGACGCUGCAUCUCACCUCCAUUGCCCCUCUUGGGUUCGGGUCUGCCUCCUCUAGGCGUUGUAUUUCUCUGAGGGUCAGAAUUUCCAGCACUCUGUUGCCCCUUCUUGAAUUUGGGCUGCUCGCGGACGCUAAAAUUGUUUCUAUGGCCUCCAUGGCUGGGACCUGCCUGAUCUUGAGGCCUAGGCCUCCUAACAUCACGUACACCUCUCCUCUUUCGGCUGUCCUCUACCUGCUGGACAUGCAUCAUUAAUCUAGAAAGGUCCAUAUUAUCAUGGAGCAUCGCAGCCCGACAAUCUUCCUCCAGGUCUCCAUUGAUUCCUGUGAGGAAUCUGCUCAUCUCCUCCCUGCUGGUAGAAACCAAGGGAGUAGCAUACCUGGAUGAUUUCAACAAAGUUAAGUACUCUCAUCAUUCUUGUUAUCAAAUACUAAGGGAAGUACAUACCUUGAUAACUUCACAAACUUCAGGGAAUACUCCCUGACAGUCAUGGAUCCUUGCUUGAGGUUGAUGAACUCCUCAACCUUGGCCUCUUUCAUCUCUCUAGGGAAGAACCUUUCCAAAAAUGCUGUCUUGAACAGCUCCCAGGUGACUGGCACCCCUCCUAGGACACGGCUAUCUCGCCACAUUUUGCACCAAGUCUGUGCAACAUCUUUGAGCUGGUAGGAAGCCAACUCAGCCUUCUCAAUAUCAGUGGCCCCCAUGGCCACCAGUAUCUUAUGCAACUCGUCUAUAAAUUCCUGGGGAUCUUCUAAAGUCUUAGCCCCUGUGAAAAUUGGAGGAUUCAUCCUCGUGAAGUCUCGCAGUCUGUCAGCUAUGCUGCGAGCCGGUGGGUUUUCCCUCAGAACAUCCUGCCGGUUGACUUGGGCAGUCAUAGCUUGGGCCUGCAUCGUGAUGGCCUGUGCCAUCUGGGCUAGAGAUGCCCUCACCUCCGCAUCAGUCAACCCAGCUGGGUUCACUGGCAUGGCCACUCCUUCAGCAGGAGCCUGAGGUGGAUUCUGAUUACCCCUAGCUGCUGCUGCUCCCGUCCUCAGACCCUUAGUUCCCCAGGUAUUCAUUCUCUGAAAACAGCAAGGUUGAUGUUAGACACGUUCGUAACACCAAGAAUUUAAACAUUAGGAAGAGCACAAUAAGAUAAGAAGAAGGGAAGUCUUUCCUACGCAUCGUGCAGUCUCUAAUCCAGGAUAGUGGUGCACUUCACUACCAUGACUUAGAAACUACUCAAUGUGGUUGAUGUGAACUCAUUAUUCGAGGAAUUUAACCUAGCGCUCUGAUACCAACUUUGUCACGACCGGAAUCUAGACCCCAGACGAGACCGGCGUCGUUGACCUCUCAGAGGUCGCAGACAAGCCUACUUACGUCAUUCUUACUUUACAUAGAUUAAUUUUAGCGGAAAAUUUGGAAUUUUUGAUUCUUUAAUCAUACUUGCUGAAUAUUCUUAACAUUUCGUAAUCGUUCAUCAUCAACCAUCUAACAUUUAAGAGAUAAGCAACUGAAAGAAAUAAUUCAUUAAAUAUUAAUUGUAUAUCGGCCAAAAUAGCACCAAUACAAAGUCUGAACCAAAACAGGAAAGAAACGCUAGUGGAACAUGCUCCACUAGCUCAACUCUAAAACUACGCUAGAAUGUAAAACAGUAGCAUCCUCGAAGGCAUAAGGACCUACCAAACUCCGGAUGAAUGCUGACGUCCAGAUAGCUGCAACAAAGAACUUGUAGCUCUACCGUACACCUGUGCCUGCACCUAAAAGUAGAGGUUUGUAUGGAAUUAGUACACACUUGUACUAAGUAUGGGUAUAUGCAAGCACACACCAGGGACAUGCAUGAGAAAGAAUAGCUCUUUCCUAACAACAUGAUUUUUGGAAGUCAAGUCGGUGGACUUGCUAAAAUGAGAUUAGGAAGGUUAUGCCACGAGAGUGACAUGCAUCAUUAUAGUUAUGGUAUGGCACACAACACAUAAUAUCUUCAUAUAACACAUAACAUAUAGCACAUAGUUUCUUUCAUAUUGUUCAUUCAUAUACCAUGAGACCUUACUAUCAUAGACUUAACCUUAAGACUUCCCAAAAUGAGGGCUCAACAUAUGGGACCUCAACUAGGGAGCCUUCUUCAGCAAACACAGAGCCUGCUUCGUUCAUUCGUUCGUAUUUCAUUUCAAUUCAUUCAUAGGCCAGUGCGAACACCAGCUAUACCUAGGAUGUAGUUUAAGACUUUCAUCGGGUUUGCUGUGCAAUGAUCAGGAAUGACCUAAUGUCAUUACCUAAAUCUAGCUCACCUCUUGAUUAUCCUAUCCUAACACCUUCGGUAUCAUUCAUUUCUUUAUAUGAUUCAUUUGAGGCUGGCCUCAUUCAUUCAUUGGGAACUUUAACUUUAACCGACAUAGAUCAUGUGAGCAUCAUGAAAUCCAGUGUCUUCCCCACACCGAAAAGAGGUGGAAUCACCGGCCAAAGCGAUUCAAUAACAUGCUAGCGUAUAUGGGAAUUUAACCCCGCCAGAUCCCUAUAGUGGCAAUAUAGGUUCAAAGACUAGGAGAUGUAUGGAGACCCAUACCCGGCAAGCCGGACAGUCUCAUCUCAUGAGAGUUACGUGAACCUCCGCCCUUCCCGAAAGAAGGCAUCACCGCUCAUAGCUAGCCUAUCGGUGCUCAGUAUAAAGUUCCAUUACAUCCAACUCAUACAUCAUGGAAGUUGUCUUCUAGUAUGAGGGCAUCAUAGCUCAAUAGAUGAUUUCUCAUCUCAUUAUUAGUAUUAAGUGUUUUAAACUCAAUAUUUUUCAUUAAAGUAUUUAUAGAGACUGGUCUCUUCAUUAUCUUACACCCUCCUUGAUGAAUACGUAUUGGUAACAUUUACUUAGGCUCGUUUGAGAUUGCUCUCUCCAUAUACAUUAGCCUCACAUCAUGAUUGUCACCACAUUCUUCAUUUCAUUACGUACAUCUUAGGUUCACUUAUUUUUUUGAACGUAUGUUAAACUUAUGUGUCUAUACAUACAAGCCAUGGGGCUUCGUUUAUAGUUCGUUAAGUGAUUCUUAUUUUCCUAAGAUUAUGUAUUACAAGACUUAUGUAUCUUGUACAUAUACCAAGAUCUUGAUUUUUGAUCAAAGUAGAUUACAUUAUUCUUGAAUAUUUUACUCACGUAUGACUUAUGUAUCAAUACGGAGGUUUGGGCACGAGAACCCAAAUCUUGAAUUAUUUGGACAUCAUUUAUAUUUUUCAUUGAUUUUAGUUCUAAUAUUCAUAAAUUUAGAACUCUAAAUUAAAUCUCAACAUUUUCGUGACAUAAUACAUUUUCUAUUUUAAUUAGAAUUCUAAAUUAAAUUUCAAUCAUUUACAUGAAAGAAUAAUUUUCUAAUUUAAUUAGAAUUCUAAUUUAAAUCUCAAUAUUUACAUAAAAGAAUUAGUAUUCUAUUUUUAAUCAAAAUUCUAAAUUUAAUCUCAAUGUUUACAUAAGAGAAUUAAUUUUUUUCAACUUUAAUUAGAAUUUUAAUUUAUUAUUAUUAUUAUUUUUAAUUACAUUCGCUUGAAUAGGGAGGUUGUGGGUUCGAACCCCCACAGCCCCCUUUAUUUUUCUCUUAUUUUCGCUGGAAAUGGAGGCUGUGAGGUGGUGGGUUCGAACCCCCACAGCCUCACCUUUAUUCCCUUAAUAUUUGUACCCCUCCCUUCAACUCUGAGGUCGUGGGUUCGAUCCCCACGCCUCGCAUCCCUUUUAUUCCCUUUUUUUUUUUUUUCGCGAACUGGGGGUCGUGGGUUCGAUCCCCGCCCCCAGCAUUCCCUUUUAAAUCCCCCCUUUUUUUUUUCUUUUCGCGAAUGGGGUCGUGGGUUCGAUCCCCGCCCCCAACAUUCCCUUAUUAAUCUUUUUUUUUUUUUUUUUUUGCGCGUGGCUGGGGUCGCGAGUUCGAUCCCUGCCAGCCCCAUUUUUUUUUUUAAUUAAGGCAUGCUGCAGGGAGGUCCUGGGUUCGAUCCCUGCAGGCCUCAAAACUUUUUUUUUUAAUUCUUUUGAUGUUCAAAAAUUUCCAGAUUCUUUUAAAGUCUGUUUUCAAGUUCUGGAAAUUUAUUCUACGAUUUUUCUUCACUUUUUCAUCAAGUUUAACAUUAAUUCUUAGGGAAAUUUCAUGGUUCAUUCAUAAUGUUUUAAUUACACAUUAUAUUUUUUUUUAUAGAUUCGUCUAACCAAGAAUUACUCCCUCAAUCAAGCCACCUAACAUUUCAUAUGAACUUCACGUCUUACCCCAUUUUAUUCACGAAAAAUAUACAAUCAUAUUACAUUAAACUUUUGGAGCAUUACAUAAAGAACCUCAUUCACUGUAACAUACUUACACAUAAUUUCAAGAAAAACAUGGUUGCCUUUCAUACGAUUCCAAGUACACAAACAUAAUCAUAUUCAUCGCGAAAACAUAAUAUACACCUAAAUCUACCAGCAAUCAUACCCAACCUAAAAAUUCAUUGGGAGCUAGUGACAGGGGCAUGCAACGGGAAACAGCCUUAGUUUCGAGAUGAAUAACUUGAAUCGUAAGGGGCCUCUUGGGAAAGGAGCCAAGAGAGAAGAAACCCAUACCUUAAUCGAUGUUCAAACUUUAAUGUUGCUGCCCGGAAAACUCCUCCAAACCACUCCCAAUUCACUUCAACGCACACCUCUCUCGACGAACCUCUCUUAGCCUUGACGUUUUGAUUACUUAUUUUCUUUUACUUGAAAAUUUUUGUGAGUUUUUCAAGCAUGAAAACUGUUGAUAUUUUUGGCAGAAAUAAUGUGAUGAAGAUGGAGAACGUGAGAGAGAGAGUUAAGGAGCGUGAGAGAGAGAGGACUAUUUGGAUUAGGAGACUAAUUCAAAAAUCAGUCAAAUAAUAAAUAAAUACAAAUCUGUUUUUGAUUUAUUUAUUUAUUUAUUCAUUUAAAACGUGAAAGGACAAUUACGCCCUUUAAAUACUUAUUUAUUCUUAUUUAUAUAAAAUUUUUUUUUUUGAAUCGUUACACCUUUCCUUUUGUUCUCUUUAGACUUUUAAAUUUCAUGGCGUUGCUUUUAUUUUUGGAUUGCAAAAUUAUUUUUUGAAGCAUCUAUUUUAUUUGAUUUCUCUUUAUGUAUAAUUCCAAAACAUAUAUGUCAUUAUCUAAUUAAUUGAGAAACAUAUAUUUGUUUAUUACUAUUAUUUUAUAUCAGUUAAAAUCAUUUUAAGCAAGUUAUGUAAAGUAUUGUUUUAACUACCUUAUGUUAAAUUACUGCAGUAUAUAUGAUGUUAACUUUUGUUGAUAUUUUCAAACUCUCAUUAUUUGAGAUAAAACAUUCAUCCAUCAGGUAUAUAAAUUAGUUUGAAAAAAAUUUAUUUCCUUACUAUACUAGAUUGUUCUCCUAAUUUUAAUGAAUAUAAAGACAAAAUGUAAAGUUAUACUUUUUUUAAUCCUUUUAUCAUUUUGUAAAGAAUGAGAAGAUUCAUUUUAAUUUUUUUUAUCAAGUAGGUCAUUAUUUUUGUUUGUUAAACACCUAUAAAAUAAAUUUAAAAUAAAUUUAUAAGUGUACUCAAAAUUAAUAAACAGAUGGAUCAGUAUGAAAAUUUUUAAUAUAUUGAGACUCAUAAUUUUAAUCUAUUUUCUUGAAUGAUUUUCAAAUAAAAUAGAAAAAGAAUAUCAUUAAAUUAAUUAUUUAAUUCGAAUGACAUGAUGUCAAAAUAAUCACGGGAACAUCUGAUAUUUUAUUAUUAUUACUUAUCAUGUUUAUUUAAAAAUGUCAAAAAUAAUUUUUUAUAUUUGAAUUUUUUAGAAAAAAUUAAAUUUUUGAUGUAUCCUUAGAUUGUAAAAAUAAUUUCUGACCUUUAUUAACUUUGUGCCCUCCUUGACCCCUCUCUAAAGGAGUAUAACUUGAAUUCUUGACUAUUGGGUAUAGUACUCGUAAGUAACUUUUUCUCAUUGUCCCUUGAUUUGAUCGAACAUGUUGUCUUGCUUUAUCUCUCUCUCACGCAUGUUCUCUAUAGUAAUUUAUUAAAUGUGGCUAUGAAUUUUUUAUUGGUUUAAAAUUUUCUAUUUCUAAAUGUUUAAUCUCUUUUUUGGAAUAGAAUCAACUCUUUGAAAAGUACAAAGCAACAAAAUAUUUUGGCCAUGGACAAUAUUUUUCAUAUCGCUAUGUGAUUUAUGUGUUCAUUGUGAAAACUUUGAAGUACCAACACUGGUAGAAAAGUGAUAUGUUGUGUUAAUCAUGUAGCAUAUGAUGUCGGAUAGUGUAAUGAGUCAAUGACACAUGCUUGGAUUUGAUUUUGCAAGUGUAUUAAAGAAAGUAAUAGGUAAGUGCGAUAUAUAUGAUCAUAUGUAGGGUGUAAAAAGAAUAUGAAAGAUCGACCGAACCAAUCAAACAGAAUGGUGUCGGACCGGUUUAUUAAAUAAAUAUUUAAUAAAAUUGUGAAUUAUUGUUUAAGUAUAUAUCGUGCCAAACAAGUAGGAUGGCUUUUUCAUUUUGUAAAAGAAAUCAAUUUUUUUGAAUCGAACAAUCUUACAUGUGUGUCAAUAUAUUUAUAUAUAAAUAUAAAUAAUAUUGGAGCUAAUUCGUGAAUUAUACUGUCUAUUUGAUUCUUCGAUUAUUUUUUAAAUAAUAGUAAAUUACUUUCAUGUAUGAAUGAUAUUGAGUUUGAAUUAAAGUUAAUUGGGAAUGAACAUGAUAUUGUAUUAAAACCUUAAUUUGUUAAUUUGAUUUUUAAAAAUGAUGUAGACUUAUUAUGUCAAUUUUUUUCGUUUUCUCUGAUGUCAAACUUAAUAUGAAGUUAUUAUUUCUUUUCUUAAUUAUUUUGUUUAAACUUAAUAUGAAAAUAUUAUUCUACUUUAAUUUAUAAAAAAGAGUUCAUUGUAAAUUAGACAAGUUUAAAUGUUGAUAAUAAGAAUAAAAAUAAGUGUGUUUUACCCAAAAAAAUAAAAUAAAAUCUGGUUUGAUGUGCAUAAUUUGUUAUCCCAAAAAUCCUUUUGAGUUGAGAAGGGAAUGGCGAGUCACCUUCCAAGUUCAUCUCUUUGCGUAUGGAGUGAUGUGAGGUUCCUAAAAAGGAAGGUGAAUCUAAGGCCAAUUGUAAGGAACAGCCAUGGAAAACCAUUCCCAGCUGAGGUAUCGAGAACCAUUCUGGAAUUAUCUUCAGUUGGCACUUUAUCCACACCGACCCAAGAUGGUUGGCCUUUAGGUAUUGCUGUACCUUUCGCUGUUGACCCUCAUGGAACUCCUCUACUCUUUCUCAAUCACUCAACUUCCAAUUUCGCUCUCAAUUCCAAGUCUAGCUUCCUUGUUCAGGUCUCUCUCUCGAUAUCUCUCUCUCUUCUUUUGUGUUUUUCUUCUUCUUCUCCUCUAACCCUUGAUCUAUUUACUCAGCUACAACAAUAUGGCUUGCGGACUCCACAGUGCACCAUACAGGGGACGCUACAAAAACCCACAGCUUUGAAGGUAUCCCCUUUUUUACUUCUCAAAUUAAUUACUAAUCUCCUUCUCCAUUCAUGAUACUAAACUUUCUUCUUUUAGAUGCUUCAUUCUCUUUGGGAAAAUAGAUUUGGCCAUCAAGUAGAUGACGAUCGCUUAUUUUUGCUUUCUGUCGAACGGGUACUUCAGAUGGAUGAUUUUGCAGAGGUUUGUAGUGUCUAUUCUCUAUCAAGAAUGCUUUAUCUCAUUCGCCACUUAUAUUUUAUCUCCAUAUACUUUCAGGAUGGAAUUUGGGUCACUUCAGAAGAAUAUAAGUCAGCGAACCCUGAUCCUCUUCGAGACUUUGCAGAAAGAAUGAUUGACGAAAUAAAUACUAACAAUAGGGAAGACAUCUUACGGUUUUGCAACAUCUAUCUAGAUUUGGAUUUCCAGGUAUCUAAUGAACCUAACAUUAUGAUUUUCUCUUAUUCCCAAUAUAGUUUUAAAUUUUCAUUUUUGUUUUGUUUUUUUAGUAUAAUAAGUCUAGGUGAAAAAAAAAAUCUGCUUCAAGGAGGGUAGAGGCAACCCAUUAUCCAUCAAAAUUUGAGGUUGGAAACAACAAAUAAUUUGAGUUAUUCAAUGUUCGUUCGAAAUACCCUUUUGACUUUUUUUUUGUUAAGAGAAGAACAAAUUAUAGGACCAAGUUUUGUCGAAUUGAGCAGAAAGAUAUUUAUCAUAGGUAGACAAUGUUUUGGAAUAACUGAGGAAGUAAAGCAGGACAACAUUUUUGUGACAGUGAAAUAUUAAAUAAACCCAUGAUCCAGAAAAUAAUUUUAGGUUAAGGGCAUGUAGACCAUCAUUGAACGAUAGAGAUAAAUAAUUAUCAGAGUUCCAAGAGUGAUAUAUAUACAAAGAACUUUUGGUAAAUCUAACCACUGGUCAUACAUGAUCAAACUUCUCAGUGCUUAGGCUUUGGGUUAUGAAAUCGGAUUAGCAGUGGCAUCGUGAUGGCCCUAGGUUCACAUUAGCAGUUGAUAAUGUGCCUUUUUACCUGGCUCAAGAGCUCUGUUUGAUCGUUUUCCCACUCUCUUUUCUAGUUUGAUAGGUACAAUUUGGUCAUUUUCUCCAUGUUCCAUUUUCACCAAAUAAAAGCUCUCUUAAGUUUAGAUUGACAUGCAUGGUUUUUAUGACCUAGUAGUCUGGUAGAAUGCGUGAUUGUUUGCAUAUUUGUUUUGUGCUCUGGGUCAGAGAAAAUGGUUUGGGCAUGUGAAGAGGAGGUGUGCGGAUGUGCCAAUAAGGAGGUGUGAGAAGUGGGCUUUAGUAGGAGUGAAGUGCGGUAGAGGUAGGUCAAAGGAGAAUUGGGGGAGGUGAUUAGAUAAGGUAUGAUUCAAUUUCAGCUUUUUGGGUGUUGUCACCUUUAGAUGGGAAAGGCAGGAAGCUAGCCCUAUCUCCUCUCAGCCUUGACAGUAGUAGUUUUUAGUAAUCGGUUAGUUUUUUGUUUCUUCAAGGUGUUUUACUAUGUUUUGCUUCAUUUUCUUUGUAUGUUAAUAUUUUUUUGCAACGAUGGUCGAACAUCUUCUCUUUUGAGCGGAGGGUCUAUCAGAAACAUCAAAGAGCAUGUUGUUGUUGGUUGUUGUUUUGAUCCAGGUCAAGGAAUGGUAAUGUUUUGCUAGUCUCAAGAAGUAUGUUUUUUGUUGCAGGUUUGCGAUGGGAAGAUGCUUUGGGUUGAUAGAUUAGGUUUUGAUGUCCGGUUCAGUUCUCCUCUGAAUGAUGUAUUUGAAGCUCGUAUCCCUUUUCCGAGAGAAGUUACAGAUGAGAAGGGUGCAAAAUCAUCUUUCAACUGCAUGUCUCAAUUUGCUUGGGAAGUAGAAAAGAAUUUCCAUGCAGCAGAUUUUGAAAAGGUGAAACAAGUGAAAAAGAUGGAGCACAGAGGAGUGUGAAGAAUCCUGAUGGUUGUUAUUACAAUGUGGUGGAACAUGUUCCUGACUCCAUUGCUUUUGUUGGUGUUGAAAGACAUAUUUGGUUUCUUUCAGUAGCGUGGAAAAUCAAAAGAGACUAUCGUUUUGGUGUGUGUUGUUUUGCUUCCAACCAGUAGUUGUAUGUCAUCUAACCAAUUUUUCCUUUAAUUCCGGAUGACCAGAAUCAAGAUUAUUAUUGAUGUCCGAUUAAUUGUUUUUAUAUACUCUAUUAAAUCAAGGACAAAUCAUUGAGCCAAAUGGCUAUCACUUGCUUGAGGAAAUUAAUCUUAGUAGAAAGCCUUCAUUAUCCCACCAUAACUUUAUUAUUAUUAUUAGUAGUAUAGUAUAAUAAAUGAUGAUGAUGAGAUAAAAUAAUCUGAAACCAGCGCUUCUAUAAAAAAUAUUUGCUCAUACCCACCCACCCUCCCUCUAACAUUAUUUUAAAAUUUAAUAUUGAUAAUUGAAAGUAGUAUGAAUAUAAAAUAUAAAAUUGUUGUUGUGAAGUGGAGUGGAGUAGUAUUAUGAUUGAGAGUAUAUAUACAUGAUCAAAAGGAAUCACGUUUUUACCUAACCUCCUCCUGUUGGUAAAUCACAAGGAUGGAUAUCUUACCUUCUCCCUCACUAAUUAAUGCUCAUGAAUAUCCAUUUUUACUUUUACUUUUCGAUUCUACAUUGCUGAUGCCGUCGUAAUAGCAACAUAUCUGCGACCAACGCUCCUACUCCCACAUAUAAUAACAGCAGGUCAGUUACAUGUUUACUCCUCCAAUCAACUUUUCCCACAAAUAAAAUUACUAACUCUUGUUCGGUAAAAGAAUAUAUAGAUAUUUGUCAUGUACUACGUACACCUGUCAAUAACAUAUACAAAUUACUUUAUACAUCAUGCAACAUGCUUUCUACUCUUUUUUGGGGCUUCUCUUCCUAAUAAAUAAUCAGCAUUUAUCAAAUCUAGCUAAUGGGCACUAGUCUAUACAUUUUUUUUCCUUCCAAUUCAGAACUAAUCUCGUACUAUACAUAUUAUAUACAACCAAGUAGUGCAACUGAAUUAUGCAAUGCAUCGCUGAUAUAACUUGAUGAAGACCUUAGCCACAGGGGUCUUUGGAACUGGGAUCAAUUUUCCCGCAGCAGCAAGAGGCCAACUGUAACGACAAUAAACAAAGAUGUUGAGAUGUAGAUGAGAUUAUCGCUAGUCAACUCCUUCCUUUCUACCAUACCUGAUAAUACCAAUGACAAGUGAAACCAUCCAUAAUUUCCAACUCAGUCCAACCGUCGACGUAAAUUUUCCAAGGAACUCAAUGAUAAUGAUCUGUUCAGUUGUAUGGAGGGAUAUGAGAGUCAGUCACCAAGAAUUCUAAUCAGAAUUUUAUCCAUUGCUCAAAAAUCUAUCACCUGAAGUAUAAAAGUAGUUCCCACAACCCCAGUAAAGAGGGGAUUUUUGGUCACGCCAGUAAAGACAUUCAUUUCAUCUGGCUUUCGAGCAUUAACCUCAUUGAAUAUCUGUAUUUCCAUUUAAAUUAGUUACAUAUCUGAGGCUUCAUGUGUAAUCUAGCCUUGAAUAAGACAAGCGAACAAAGAACAUUAUCCAUACAGAGAAUAACCAUUUAAAGAAAUUACACACACAUUUCUUUCUCCUAAUUUGCACCAAGAAUGCAAAAAGCUUACUUGGCAGAAAACAAAUGCAUUGAAAAUUAAGGUAUUCUUCACCAUAUUAGCAUGUUUUGGGUCAUCAUUCUCUAAGCUGAGAAUGCUCUUGCCCUGGAAAUUGAGUAGAAGAAGGAUUCCGAUUUGGUAGAGAGCCUGCAGAAGAGAAAAAUAAAGAAUUUGUUUAUACAAAAUGUGGGCUAUUAAACUUUCUGUUUUUACGGUGAACAUAGCAAAGAUAGAAUGAAACAACAAAUAUCCUCUAUCAGUAAGGCCACAGACCUGAAUAAGCAAGUUCCUCCACAUGAUAUUUGUCACCAGAGGUUCCCUAAGUUUCACAAAAAAUUAUUAAGUGUCAAAGCAUGUAAAAAUCCUGAAAAAGAUCUUGAGUCACAGUAAAAUAAGCAAACCAACACUCCCCAAUUUUUUUUUUUUUUAAGAAAACCAAGUGCACUGAUAACUAGAAAUUCACAAUUCUAAAUGUUAAAAAAGUCUCACAUUGGUGGUUAAUGAGACGGGCGGACUCCUUAUAAGGCUUGGACAAUCCUAUUCACUUUGAGCUAGCUUUUGGGGUGUGAGUUAGACCUAAACCCUACUUUAACACCGUAUCAGAGCCAUUGGGCGUGAGGUGGGGUGUUAAAGAAUGCCAAAAGUCCCAUCAUCGGUGGUUAAUGAGAUGGAUGGACUCAUUAUAACGCAUGUACAAUCCUCCUCCCUUUGAGCUUGCUUUUGGGGUGUGAGUUAGGGCUAAGACCCAAUUUAACAUUAAAGAACCUCGAGUUUCCCAUAGAAAGCAUGUCUGAAUAAUUUUUCUUCACAAGAAUUAUAUACUGAGCCGUGAACUAGAAAAACCAUGAAAUAUUUAGGAAGGUGCAAGCCAAGUUUAUUUUAGAUAAAGAAUCUGUCCCAUGAUGAAUUUUAUUCCUGCAAGUGAGGGGUUCUGAGAUUAAAUAAACAACACAGAAGCUAACAUCUUGAUGCACCUUUUGGAAAGAAGUGGAUAAAAGUAGGUGCAUAAUAUUUACACUAGGAGGGCUCUCAUAUUUAGUUGAACCAUCAUACGCGGAAGAUGCCUAUGAAAGACUUUGAAUAUCUCACAUUCUGUGAAAUGGAAAAAGAUGCAUCUAGCAUAGAGGUAGUUUCAUCACAAUAAUAUAGAACACUUCAAGCUUACAUUCACAGAAAUUACAAUAGAUGUUCUGAUCAUGCACCAUUUAGACCUCAAACUAGCAGGCUCUGUGGCAUAAUUCAUUUUAUGACAACUGCAAAUCAUAAAAAAAGUAUCAAAUAUAAGGAGAUAGCAUGGUACAUCCGAGUUGCUCACCUUCGACCAACAGGAGGUCUACGCAUAAGAUGGUCAGUUGGUGGUUCAGUAGCCAAAGCUAGUGCUCCCAGAGUAUCCAUAAUGAGAUUGACCCAAAGAAGCUGCAAUAAGAGUAUCCUUGAGCAAAACGAAAAAAGAAGAAGACUUCCAGCAAAUAACUAUAUGUAAGUCCUUAUUACCCACUGAAUGAUAAACAUAGCACACGUAUGUACUAUAUAUCAUUCUCAAAAAAUAUAUACAUACAUAUACAUAUUUAUACCUAUGAAAUUACAAUUUUAUAUACCCCUGCAUCCGUGUAGGUCAAAAGAUAGAUAGACAGAUAGAGAGAGAACCUGCACUGUGUUUAGAGGAACAUCACCAGAAGAAACUGCUGCCACAACAUUGAUUACAAGAGCUGCGACAUUAACAGUGAGCUGGAACUGAAUGAAUUUCUGAAUAUUUGCAUAAACAGAACGACCCCAGCGUACAACCUACAUUGAGAUAAAUUAAGUCAAGGACCACGGCUUUUCAUUACGCUAGUACACUAAGACACCACAAACUUACACCAGCUGAUACAACACAGAUAUGGAUUAAAAAGACACAUCAUCUACUUCCUCGGUGUUUUGCUGCUUUCUCCAAGUUGUUAAAUAAACAUGGCUCAAAGGAUGGGGUGCCAGUCCAAGAAGAAUAAUAUCCACUAGGAAAUUUGACGAUGAGAAGGCAAAGGGAUGCAAUAAUAAGAUAAACAAGAAGCUUGCACUGCUUGUUUCUCGUAAUCUGACUCCUCUUUUUUGCCCUUGCACUCCCUCUGUCACUUCAUCGUUUAACAAAAUAUCUAAAAGAUCUUUGAUUUUCAUGUUGACUUCCAAAAUUUGAUAAGCUAGUGUUACAUUGUGUUUGCAAAUCAAUACAAGUUUAGAGUAUAUUCUAAUGCCUACUGGUUAAAAGUGCUCAACAUCUACAUGCUUAAUGCAAAAUAAUAAAUUAUGAUCUCAGAAUAAGUGGUCAAAUUUUUAGAAGCACUAUCUGUAUUUCCAAGUCACCUUCACAAAUUCAGCCAAAUUACCUUUCAAGAUCAAAAUAAAAAAUACAGAACAUGAAUACAUGUCUGAGUUUUCAUGUGCUUUCGACCUUCAAAACCCACCCUUCAUAGUUCAAAUAAAUGUUCUCAUCAGAUUUCUGAAGUUCUGAUGAAUAUGCUUAUAUUAACAGUGAAAAGACAUACAAAAGCAUUCACAACAUCACAUGUAGUUGAGGUGUAAUGAAAGUUCAGACUAAGGAUAAUAAGUGAUUUUUUUCCGAAAUAUUGGUCAUUUUGAUAGUAAAGGAGUUAGUAGAUACAGAGUAACUAAUCUCAGAAUGACAUUUUACAUUUCUCAGAGGCAUUAUAAGUUGGUACAAUUCACCCUCUUUCACAGCUUUGUAAAAACAUAUCUAUGAGUUUUUGACCUCAAAGCCCACCUCCAUAGGCCCACAAAUGUUCUCAUCAGAAUACUGAAGUUUAUGAUAAAUGUGCAGUAUUUUAAUGAUGAAAAGAUUUAAUAAGCAUUUCUGGCAUUGUACAUAGUUGAGACCUAUUAUCACAAAAAGUAAUUUUUAAAAAUCAAACUAAACAUUUUCUUCAAACACCAAAAGAGAUUUUCCAACUCACCUUCACUACUGAAGCAAAAUUAUCAUCCAAGAUAAUGAUGUCAGAGCUUUCUUUUGCGACUUCUGUUCCUUGGAUGCCCAUGGAAAGGCCUAUGUCGGCCUAAAUAUUGAAAGACAAUGAAAUUAACUAAACACAGAAAAAUCACUAGACAAUACAAAAAUUAACAUUGAAGAAUUGCAGCUAAUAAAGCAUUCAAAUAGAAUAAUGUAAUUUGGCACAAAAAACUGCUAUUCCAGACCAUAUACAGCACCUAAACUUUGGCAAUAUUAUUAAACCCUGAACAUCAAGUCAUGGGUACAUUACUUACACAGGAGAAUAAUUUAUAUUUGAGGUCUAUCACAAUACUCUGACGCAGAUAAGACAGUGGUCCCAUUGGAGAUAUGUAAGACUCCAUAAAUUUGAACCUUUCUACCAGGUCUAAUACGGAUUAAGAAUCUCAAAAAUCCCACAAAAACUGGAAUGUGGAGACCACCUGAGGAUUUUACAGACAAAGUAAUUCAACGGACUAGGACGGUGUGGAAGCACGGUGAGCAAAGGGACAAAGGUCCAAAAUGAUUAAAGAUUUUAUAGUGCGACAAUGACAACUAGAAAUAAUGCUUUUGUGUUACAAAGGAGGCUACAGACUAGUACCAUAUCAAAUGGACAUAAUAAUAAGUAUAGGAAACGUCUCAGAAGUGAUUUAAGGUCUAAGGAGAGCUAGCAUAAAGUUGAAAUUGGAAGCUAUAGCACGAACUAAGUUUUUGAUGAGCUCGCACAAGGUCCAACUUCAAACAAACAUAUCUACCCGCAUGUAGACUUUUAUGCACAAACCGUUCAUCAAUGAGCUCUAUACAAAAAUAUAUGUACGUUUUACUGAAGUGCAAUCGAAAUGGCUGGGGACACCACAUGGCCCGCGUUGCGUUAAGACAAACUUCAGGAAGUCGAUUCUUUUUCAUCCAUGCUGGCACCCCGCAUCGUGGUAGGCUAAAAAUAUGCUUGUUUCUUCUAUUUUUUGGUCUACAAAGUGAGAGAAAGAGGGGCAUAUGUUUGGACGAUUUUGGAGCUUCUCUCUAGUUUUUCUCCCCCAAAGACCUCCUACAUCAAGGUAAGAUAUUCCUUAUCUAAUUUCCUCACUUACUGCAUGAUUAACUCAUAGAUUCUCAUGCAGAUUUUAGAACACUCAAGUUGCUUCCCAAGAAUUCAAGUGAAGGAUUUUGCAAGGGUUUCUUUCUAAAGGUAAUACUUCACCCUCAAACUCUCAUGCAUUAAUAAUUGAGGAUAACGUGAGUUUGUUUUAGUGUUGUAACUUAUGGUUGUGGAAUGGUGAUGGGAAGCCAGAAGUUUGUGGCUUUAGUUGAUGAAAAUGGUAGAGAAUGGAAGAAUUAUUGCAGGUGAAAUUGUGGGAUGAGAGCGAAUUUUUGGACUCAUUGGCAAUGAAGGAAGUUGUUAUGUAUCUUGUGAGAAAUAUAAAAAAAGAAUGUUAUUGAAUUGUUGUUGUGUCUACAUUGUUACAUUGAGACCCUAUUUAUAGACCCUAGAAUACAAUCCUUUAUCAAGUAGGAUACUAUUAAGUAUUCCUAUUCAUAUUCUAAUAGGAUUGUAUAAACAUAUUCCUAUUCUAAUAGGAUUGUAUAAAUCUAUUACUAUUCUAAUAGGAUUGUAUAAACCUAUUCCUGUUUUAAUAGGAUUAUAUAAACUUAUUCCUAUUCUAACAUAUCUAAAUUCGGUUGUAGUGUCAUUUUUUUGACAAGGGGAAGGGUUGUUGGAUGAAAAAACACCAUUAGUGGAGGUUGUAGAGAUUCAUACUCAGUGCCUAGGCACCCUCCAAAUGGGAUAUCACAUCUUUGAGAGGGAGGCAAGAAAAAAGUAUUAGGAAAAGAUAAAACGAAAGACGAAGGAGAGAAGAUCUCCAUCAUGCAUCCUUCAACAUCCUAUGUGUUCCUUUUCUUUACUUGUUAAGGUUUAGCAAAGACAAUGCUAAUUCUUUGAUAUUCGGCAGUAGAUUUAGUUAAGUAAGAAGCUUAGAUAUAAAAGGUGCUUAAUAUUUGAUGGUUUUAAAAAUAUUUUUAUCUUUGUUCCUCGUUAAAUUAUGCAUAUUUUAUGAUAUUGAUGUAUUCCUCAUGUUUAGUGAAGUUGAAAUACUUGCCCAAUUGUAUUUGAAGGGACAACAUCUAACCAGGUUUGGAUGAAAGAAGUAGAAUGCAACGCUACUCAGGAAAUCAGAAAAUGACAUAAAUUUAAAUAAACUCCUAGCUUUUUUUCUUCUUUUUUUGUGGAUAAAGUGCUAAUAUUAAGAGGAGCUUACUAGAUCAUCCUGCAUCUUGGACAAAACUAGAUUAGUCACUAAAGGGACAUUCAAAUGUAGGAAAUAGAAGGCAGUCAAUGCUACACAUAAUAGCAAUAGAACAUUAGGGAGUUCCACCAAUUUAUGAGAUCGGUUCCAUAUGACCAAGUCUACACUGAAGCCAUCCUUAAUGAUUAGAAAAGCUUAAAGUACGAAAUAUAACAAAAACAAUGAUUAUAACUCAGGCAAUGAGUAUUUUGAAACACUCGUUAUUAAAUCCUUCAAUAACAAAAUGAGGUUUAGUUGAACCCUUAACCUUCAUUUACUAUUAAAUUUUCCUUAAGUUCGCCUCUUGUAUAUUGAGUUCUCUCUGCAUCAUGUUCUUCUUCUUUUUAAUUUAUAGUGACCGACCAAAUUUCAAUCGUUUAUUGCUCAAGUGGCAUAGGAUCAAAACCACUUCUUCUUAAAGUUUGUUUUAGUGCUCAGAGACCAAAUGUGUACAAGGAUCAGCAAGUGAAGACUCAAAAAGCAGAAGAAAACUAAACAACUGAAUAAACGGAAAGUGAUAAGAAGGUCAUCACACCUCAUGCAGUGCAGGAGCAUCAUUAGUUCCAUCUCCAGUAACAGCAACGACUUCCCCUAGUUUACGCAGAGUUUGCACAAGCAAAAGCUUGUCACUUGGUGAUGACCUUCCCAUAACCUAGAAACCAGUUUUCUACUUUUAACAAGAUGUGCCAACAUACAAAUGGAGAUACAAGUAGAUUAAAUAUAUAAAUCAGUUAUUAUCUCUUCAUGGAUAACAUACCGACAUUCUGUUUGCAACUUGUUCUCUCUCCUUCUCAGACAACUCACGGAAGGUUUUCCCCUCAAUAACUUCAAAUUCUGUGACUUCAGUAUUUGAACUUAAAAUUCCACACUCCAAGGCAAUUGCUCUAGCUGUUUGGAUAUUAUCUCCAGUUACCAUCCGCACCUAAAGGUUCUCAAGAGUAAAGUUUUUGCUUAUAAGAACAAAUGCUUAAGCUAAAUGCAUUCCAGAUCUCCUCAAAUUAGAAGUCACGGUCAUGUGGCUAAAUGUGCACACCCAACCAUGACAUACUGUACUAUAUGCAUCCUGAAAUGGCUAAUAAUUGAAAUAUUUUAAACCAUUCAAGACCUACCAAAUUUCCAAUAAAUUACCUGUAAAGAGGAAGAUAGAUUUUGAUAGAAUAAACAUAAAACAUUAGUAUACUUAACUGGUUCAAAGUGUUUGAAAAUAGGUUCAAUUAAUUAAAAGAAAACACCUUGGACCAAGUAAAAGUCUUCUUGCUGACAAAGUUAGAUACAAUUAUAUAGUCGAUCAUUUCACCUUAUUAGCUACUAUUACAUCCAAACAAAAAGAUUACCUUAACACCAGAAUCACUGCACUGUCUCACUGCAUCUUUGACACCUGGACGACAAGGAUCCUAUGUAAAAAGGCAAAUAAAGAUGAAUGAGAACAUGCAAAACAACUCACGAAAAAUUAAAUACUGCACACAAAUAUGUAUCAUGUCAAAUAGUUUUUUCAUAAGGUGGUGUCUCAGACAGCUGGGCCAUACACUCUAUCCAUCUCAUUUUCCAUAUCAGUUUUAGUUUAGUUGUCCACGAAGAUUAGAAGUCAAUUUAAUAUAUUAUACUUUAACAGUAUUACUCUAUCAAAUGCCUUGAGAUCUAUCUAUUUAUUUUUUUAGUUCUAUUUUUCAAUAGGAUUUGACAUCAUUUAAUCCUAUGAUAACUUCAAUUAAUGUUAACACAUAUGUUUUAAA